rnacentral:lncRNA from 1 species
UUUUUUGUUUUUGUUCUUCACUGAUAUUUUAUAGUAUUUCAUUGGAUUUAACAUAACAUUGUACUAAUUUAUUUUUAAAUUUGUUUUAGUAUGGCUACUAAUUUUUGGAUUAAGAAUAUUUUGUUCCCUAGCCAAAAUUUGCGAAUUUUCAAAAUUUCACACAUAUUUAGUCAAUUUUUUUAACCCUGGUACUGACCAAAAAAUGGGCGGCAAUUCUAAAAAUGGAAAAAGGGCUGCACUAAUUUCCAUAUGAAUUAGAAAAUGAGUAAAAAUUAUAAAAAUAAUAGCAAAUGGGCUAUACAUGACACGGAUUUCGAAGCUAACUUGUUUACGCAAGGCUUUGUCAGUCAACACAUGAUUCUAGCAGUAGUGACUAUUGGAUGUCCAUCCAACGGCCGACGUGCUUCUUCAAUCUCUGAUCUUCCUACUCCAGCCGCCUAAACUAGCGCCGGCGGGACUGCCUGCUCCCUCCUCUUGUGGCCCGCUAUGAUGCCGCGCAGGCUUCCCCGGCCCACCCUACUCCCUCCGCUCGCCUGGCCGCACGCAAUCAACUACCUCCUUAUUACGUGAAAAAAUGAUUCCUCCCACUGACAUUUGGGGCGCACCGGUUGGGAGGCUAACCUGUGGGCCUACUAAGUUGACGCGUACGCAGGGCUUGUCAACUUAGUCAACAAACAAUUGUAGCAGCAGUAACCAUUGGAUUUGAAUCGAACGGUCCUGCUGCUUCUUCAAGUGCUACUCCUCUUGCACCAGCCGCCCAAACCAGCGCCAGCGAGACCGCCUGCUCCUGCCUCCAGUGGCCAGUUGUGCUGCCGUUGAGGCCUCACUGCCUCCUACUACUCCCACCGCUAGCCAGGCCCUGCGGCGACGGCAGCCUCACACCAUAGACGAACCAGUGAACCCUCCUACUCCUCUACGCGUGGGCGUCCACUACCGCGUCUUCCCCGGCUCCGCGUCAUCCCCUUCCUUCCUAGGCCUCACCGUCGUCCACCGCCCUGGUGCUCUCGGCGCGACGUGGUCAACAUGGUCAAGGAACGACUUCCAACGGAAGAGUACUGUACGUGGAGAGGCUGGCAGCUGGGUCCACGGCAGCCGCAAGGAAGUGCCUCCUUAUUAUGCGCAAAAUAAUUAUUCCUCCACCUGACAGCAGGGACCCACUGGAUGGUCCACCAGUAUUUUGCGAAAAAAACGUUUUCCCCUGACUGCUGGGACCCACCGGACGGGCCAUCGUAUUUUGCAAAAAAACGUUCCCCUCGAUGUCAGUUCGGACCCACCGGAAGUGCCUACUUAUUACGCACAAAAAAAUGAAUACUCCCUCGGCUGGCUGGGACCCACCUUGGUGGGAGGCUGACUUGUGGGCCUACUAAGUUGACGGGGACGAAGGGCUUUGUCAACUUAGUCAAUAUGAACGAUUCUAGCUCCAGUGACCGUACGAUGUCCAUCCAACGGCCGUAGUGCUUCUUCAACCUCUGGUCUUCGUGCUCCAGCCGCCCAAAGCAGCACCGGUCGUGCCGCAUGCUCCUGCCUCCCGUGGCCGGCUGUGAUGCCGCAGAGGCCUCACCGUCCCCUACUACUCCCACCGCUGGCCAGGACAUUCCUCUACUCACCCACACCCCCUGUUAUUCCGCGGCGACGGCAGCCUCACACCACAGCCGAACCAGUGAACCCUCGUACUCCUCUUCGCGUGGGCAUCCACUGUUGCGUCUUCCCCGGCUCCGCGUCAUCCCGUUCCUAGGCCUCGCUGUCGUCCACCGCUGUGGUGCUCUCGGCGCGGCGUGGUCAAUGUGGUCAACGACCGACUUCCAUCGAAAGAGUACUGUGCGUGGAGAGGCUGACAGCUAGGUCCACGGCGACCACCAGGAAGUGCCUCCUUAUUACGUGCAAAAUAAUUAUUCCUCCAUCUGACAGCAGGGACCCACCGGACGGGCCAUCGUAUUUCACGAAAAAACGUUUCCCCCCUGACUGCUGGGACCCACCAGCUACACUUUCACACGCAAGGAAGUGCGUCCAGGCAAAAAAGAAAACGAUUCGCCCCCCUGACUGCUGGGACCCACCAGCUACAUCUUCGCACGCAAGGAAGUGCCUGACAGUUGGGACCCACCUGGUCGAAGCGUACGUAGCGUUCUCAUUCUGGUCGCGAACGUGUACGUACAUAUAUAUUGGUGGAUGUAGAGGCGCGCACGUGUCGUAGUAGUGGCGCGCACGUAGCAUGUAUACGUACGUACAGCGGCCAGUGUGCAAGAAAGAAAAUACGGCCACGUAUGUGUACAUAAGGGCGGGGUCUCGAACGCCUACUCGCGCAUAUGUACGACCAGGGCUCGUGUACAUGGCUGGGUCGAAACGGAGAAACAGCGUGUCGUCGUGUUCAUGGGGAGCCAACCGGCUGGGUCGGAAUGGAAUGCAUCGUCGUGUUCAUCGGGAGGGCUUGGAUGGAACAUGCGAUGAAAACGAGGUCUGGCGUACCGCAGAACGGAGGAAACGGCCUUGUGUUCGACCGGUCACUUUUGAAACGGGAUCCUGUUCAUCGGGAGGGGUGUGGCGUACCGCAAAACGGAGGAAACAGACCUCCUAUGGUCGAAACGGGGGUCCUGUUGAUCGGGAGGGGUGUGGCGUACCGCAAAACGGACGAAACGGACUUGUGUUGGAGCGCNNNNNNNNNNNNNNNNNNNNNNNNNNNNNNNNNNNNNNNNNNNNNNNNNNNNNNNNNNNNNNNNNNNNNNNNNNNNNNNNNNNNNNNNNNNNNNNNNNNNNNNNNNNNNNNNNNNNNNNNNNNNNNNNNNNNNNNNNNNNNNNNNNNNNNNNNNNNNNNNNNNNNNNNNNNNNNNNNNNNNNNNNNNNNNNNNNNNNNNNNNNNNNNNNNNNNNNNNNNNNNNNNNNNNNNNNNNNNNNNNNNNNNNNNNNNNNNNNNNNNNNNNNNNNNNNNNNNNNNNNNNNNNNNNNNNNNNNNNNNNNNNNNNNNNNNNNNNNNNNNNNNNNNNNNNNNNNNNNNNNNNNNNNNNNNNNNNNNNNNNNNNNNNNNNNNNNNNNNNNNNNNNNNNNNNNNNNNNNNNNNNNNNNNNNNNNNNNNNNNNNNNNNNNNNNNNNNNNNNNNNNNNNNNNNNNNNNNNNNNNNNNNNNNNNNNNNNNNNNNNNNNNNNNNNNNNNNNNNNNNNNNNNNNNNNNNNNNNNNNNNNNNNNNNNNNNNNNNNNNNNNNNNNNNNNNNNNNNNNNNNNNNNNNNNNNNNNNNNNNNNNNNNNNNNNNNNNNNNNNNNNNNNNNNNNNNNNNNNNNNNNNNNNNNNNNNNNNNNNNNNNNNNNNNNNNNNNNNNNNNNNNNNNNNNNNNNNNNNNNNNNNNNNNNNNNNNNNNNNNNNNNNNNNNNNNNNNNNNNNNNNNNNNNNNNNNNNNNNNNNNNNNNNNNNNNNNNNNNNNNNNNNNNNNNNNNNNNNNNNNNNNNNNNNNNNNNNNNNNNNNNNNNNNNNNNNNNNNNNNNNNNNNNNNNNNNNNNNNNNNNNNNNNNNNNNNNNNNNNNNNNNNNNNNNNNNNNNNNNNNNNNNNNNNNNNNNNNNNNNNNNNNNNNNNNNNNNNNNNNNNNNNNNNNNNNNNNNNNNNNNNNNNNNNNNNNNNNNNNNNNUCGGCUUCAGUUAGCAGCAGUAGCGAAGGAAUUGCUCGAUCGGGUUCAGUUAACAGCCAUCGAUCGAUCGUUUGGGUUCAGUAACGUGUAGCCUGCAGUGCAAUCGCUCGGGUUCAGUUAGAUCCCAACGCCUCGCUCGGGUUCAGUUAGAGCCAACGCCUCGCACACACGCACGUACGUGUACAAGAGAAACGCGCAUCGCUCGGCCCCCGACCACCCACCGUAACCGGGAACUCCCCGAAAUUUUCCUCGCCCUUGCUUCUACCACGGUUUUUUCCGUCAUGGAUGGCCCAAAGAAUGUCAUGCAGCUGCGUCUCCGGCCCACCCAGGACAAAAAGCCCAUUUUCUAUCAUGAUUUUUUGUCAUAGAAGUAGGAGCCCACCACAUCUAUGAUGAUACCGGGUUUUGUCACAAUUAUCGUCAUAGAAGUGUCAUAUGUAUGACAGGAAAAAAAUCGUUUUGCCCAAAAUGUCACAGAUGUGUCUUUUUUUUGUAGUAUUAGUGCUACAAUUAUAAAGAGAAGACGACUGUGUGGGUGUAAAAGACUAGGUGAGGUCAUAAUCAAUGUAAAGUUGAAUUCAAAUAUUUGAAUAAGAGAUCAUGAUGUUUGAAACCCAUGCAUGCAUGAAUAUAACGGAGAUCUGCGCGGUGUGGUUUGGAAACGAGCAUGUUGUAAUGUAUACACAUUGAACAAGGUCGGGCUGAUUUGAAUUUGAGAUACCGAUGGCAGACAUCGUUUGGCUACAUUGCAUCCGUGCAUGGACACACUAUUCUAAUUGUAGAUGAUGGGUGGCUUUCGCAACACAUAUCUAUAUCUAUACCCUAUAUAUAUAUAUAUAUAUAUAUAUAUAUAUAUAUAUAUAUAGGACAACACUAUUCUAAUCCCAGGAUUAGAAUAGUUAUUUGGAUCACAGCCAGCCCUAUAUAGGGCCCGCUGGAGGUUCCUGAGAUCUGAAAAUGCACCGAACACAAAAAGGAAAAAAAUCCCCCCUCCCCCACCCCCCGAUCCAGCAACCAUCCCCACGCCCCCAGUCCCUCUCCGAUCCAGCCACCCACCAUCGCCGGCGCCGGCCCGCCGCGGNNNNNNNNNNNNNNNNNNNNNNNNNNNNNNNNNNNNNNNNNNNNNNNNNNNNNNNNNNNNNNNNNNNNNNNNNNNNNNNNNNNNNNNNNNNNNNNNNNNNNNNNNNNNNNNNNNNNNNNNNNNNNNNNNNNNNNNNNNNNNNNNNNNNNNNNNNNNNNNNNNNNNNNNNNNNNNNNNNNNNNNNNNNNNNNNNNNNNNNNNNNNNNNNNNNNNNNNNNNNNNNNNNNNNNNNNNNNNNNNNNNNNNNNNNNNNNNNNNNNNNNNNNNNNNNNNNNNNNNNNNNNNNNNNCUCCAACCGUGCCUCUGCCGGGCCCUGCAACCAACCGUGCCGCAGCCAGGCCCGCCUCCAACCGCGCCGUCGUCGAGGCCCGACCUCCAACCGCGCCGCCGCUGAGGCCCGACCUCUAAUCGUGCCGCCGCCCCGACACUGCCCACAAUCGGUGUCGCCGACCCCGCCCCGCCACAACAGGCAACCCCUCCGCCCCAACCACCAUGCGUCGGCAAACUCCCUGCCAACCACCGGCGCCUGCCCGAUCCGUCACCACCACCCACCGGCCACAUGCCCUCCGCCCCGCCCCAAUUUCCCCUAUGGGGUGAGCUUUCCUCUGCUCCGGCGUGAACUUCCCUCCCGUCCGUCGCGACCUUCCUUCUACGCCGCCGCGACCUUCCCUUCCCUCCGGCAUGCCCUCCUACUCCUCCGCAGCCCCGUCCCCACCCUUCCUCCCCCGAACAACUUCCUGGUGCCUACUCAUUGCAUCUUCCUCCAUGCUAUUGUUGCCCUCUUCCUCCAUGCUAUUGUUUGUGUAUAUGGCUCAAACAAAAACGUGUUUUUUUAGAUUUUACCUUGGCUGGGUGCAUCCUCUAUCUUUGGUUACAAGAGAAGUUCGUGUUGUCAGAAAAGUUACUUCAACUGUUGGGUAUUUGUAUACAAACGUUGUUUGUAACAAUUUGUCGUGUUUAUUAAAAAUACAGAAGUUCACCAUGCAAAACUUGCGCAGUUCAAUUUGUACUAAAAAGAUAGAAAAUAAAACAACAGUAAAGUUCACAGAUCAUGGACAAAAGAUGAUCGUGUUAUUUUCGGUGUUUGCUCAUAUGACCAAUUUAAAUGCACAAUCUUAGAUAUUUUUAGUUGAAACAUAUGAAACAAUAUUUACAACAUGAAAAAGUAAAUUCAAUAGUAAUCCAAUUUUCCGUUUAUAAAAUACAAAACAAAGAAGUUAAACAUUUAAAUAACACAUUAGUUUGAUGUAAAAAUAAAGAAAUAUAUUUCCCUAUUUCUAAAAAAUAAAACCAUGAAGGUCAAAUUAAACUAACAAAGUAGUCCAAUGCUCAUUAAAAUUUUGGAUUUUUCUUAUUUCUAAAAAAUAACCAAUUUUUUUAAAAGUUAGAUAUUCCUUGUUUCUAAAAAACAAGAGAGAAGGUCAGAUCAAAAUACAGAGCAGUACAAAAAAUGUUUAUAAAAAGAUGGAUUUAAAAAAUCUAGAAAAUUUGACAUAACCAAGAAGAUAAAAAAACAUAGAAGUUCAAUUUGAAAUAACCGAGAAGGCCAAAAAACAAAGAAGUUAAAAUUUAAAAACCUAGAAAAUUGUUGGCUUAUUUAAAACCAUAUUUUUCUAAGAAGUUCAAUAUAAAAAAAGAGAAGUUUGAAUGUUAAAAAAACUUAGAUGUUUUCUCGUCACUAAAUAAUAAAAUGAACAAAUUCAAAAAAAAGGAAAAACUUAAAUUUCAAAAACAAAUUCACGUUUAAAAAAAACUAGAAGUUUAAAAAUAAAAUAACGAAGUGGUUCAGUGUUUAUUAAAAAACCUAGGAUUUUACCUUCUUUAAAAAAACUCAGAUAUCAACUAUUAUUAAAGAAUCAACCAUGAAGAUAAAAAAAGUAGUCAAAUUUAUGUUUAUUUAAAAAACAAAAACAAAAAAUUUACUCAAAAAAAUGUGAAGUUCAAAUAAAAAUAACAUAGAAGUUCAAAGUAUAUCAAAACAUGGGAUUUAGAAGGUCAAAAAACAAGAACAAAAAAUAAUGUUGUUUUGGGCAUUUUUCCCCAAUACUAAAGAUUAAAACCAAGAAGGUCAAUUUUAAGAAACGAAGUAGUUCAAUGUAUAUAAAAAGACUCAGGUUUUCUCGUUAGUAGAGAAUAAAAACUAAAAUUUUCAAUUGGAAAAAGCGGAGCGGUUUGAUAUCUAUUUGAAAAAAUCGGAUUUUUCUAGUUACUGAAGAAUAAACCAAUAAGUUCAAUUUGAAAGAACAAAGAAGUUCGAAUUUUCUAAAACACCCUCCAAUUUUCACAUUUCUAAAAAGAGACAAUGAAGUUCAAGUAAAAAAGGUAGAGUGGUUCAAUGUCUAUAAAAAGCUCAAAUAUUUUCACGUAACCGAGGGAAGUUUAGAUUGAUAACCACCAGAAGUUCGCGUAGUACACGGUGUGCAUUUUUGUAUUAAAAAGAAUAAAAAACAAAGGCUAAAAGUUUUGCUUCUAGAAACUCAAGUGCUCGGCCCAAAAAGUUCAAAAUUUCUUGUGAGAGAGGUUGGAACAAAAAUACAUGACAGAAGUUCAAAGUGAAAACAGCGGGAAGUUCAACUACUGCAAGGAAUGCAUUUCAAAUGAGAAUAAAAGUAUGGAAAAUUAAAAGCUUAAAAGGUUUGUUGAAAGAAGUUCAAGUGCUUUGUCCGCGGAAGUUCAAAAAUUCUUACGAGAGAGGUUCAUCUUAUAUUUCCAUGUUCGGUUUUUUCUGUAUAAAAAUCGAAUACAAUUUUUUACUCAAAAAUAUAAAAAGUUGAAGUUCAAAAUGAAAUAACAGAGAAGUUCGUAGUUUACUAAAACCUAGGAUUUACCCAUUCAAAAAAUAAAAAACACAACGCCAUUUUUUGCACUUUUAAAAACAACCUCAUAAAUGGUUGCUAGAAGUUCAAGUGCUCGACGAGGAAAAUUUUGAAAAAUUCUUGUGAGAGAGGUUCACCGUGUAUUUAGAUGUCCAAAAUACAUAAAAAACAUGUUGUUUUUUGUGUUUUAAAAUAACUCUCUCAAAGCAGAGAGAAGUUCAACGUGAUAACAACCAGAAGUUCACGUACUACAUGGUGUGUGUUUCAAAAAAAAGUGAAACAGAGUGAAGUUCAAAUACACAUGCUCCAGAAGUUCAACUACUUCAUGUAGUGUAAAAAACAGCACGUCAAAAACAAAGUGAAGUUCAAACAGACAUGCUCCAGAAGUUCUACCACUUCACGCAGUGCAUUUCCGUUCGCGAUGAACGCAGAAAUCAUGAUCUCGCCAUUUUCUAAUUUACCUCAAAACGGUAGGAAUAUUAUUUGUGUAAAUUCAAGUCCUCGGUCGGAGAAAGUUAAAAAAAAUUAUUGUGAGAGAGGUUUGUACAAAAAGAAUAUCAUUUCUGUAACACUGACGAAAUGAAUGAGAAAAUUACAAACAAGAAUACGUCACAGAAGUUCAACGUGAAAACAGCAGGAAGUUCACCUACUACACUGAAUGAAUUUCAGAUGAAAAACUUUCAAAAUUGUCGCGAGUAUGAAAAUAUGAUCAACACGGAAAAGUUGCGUCUUUACAGCAGCUUUCCAUCGGUAUAUCACCCGCUCAAUUCCCGUGAGUGUGAUGGAGAGCUACGAGCAGUGGAUGAAGAUCUACGAGCAAAACAAUCACGUAAAAAACAAAGUGAAGUUCAGGUACACGCACCGAGAAGUUCAGGUUCUUCACGCAGUGCAUUUUCGAAGAAUCUGUUUCACGAUAGAGGCAGAAUGAAUGAUCCCGCCGUUUUCGGAAUUACUUGAAAACGGCUAGGAAUCAGAGAAAACCUUCAACAUGAAAAGGUUUCGCAUUUUCCGUAGCUUUUGAAUGGUAUACUAUUUGCCCAAUUCCGAUAAAGUUCGUAGAAAUUAUGGUGAAAAUACGUUUUUUGCCAUUUUCGAAACUGACUUAAAACUGUAAAGAAUUGGGAGAAACAAUACAUACCAAAAAGUUUUGCAUUUGUUCAAGCUUUCCAAUGCCAUAUCAUUUGCUGCAUUCGGACGCAUGGUUAAAAAAUUAGCUUGAAAAUACGAACUCGGUAGGACUUGGACCAUUUUCUAAAUUACUCUUAAACCAUUCAAAAUUAGAAAAACACUUUCAAGAUGAAAAAGUAGCGCAUUUUCAUAAGCUUUCCAACGCCAUACCAUAUGCCUCCAUUGGAUUAGCCGUUCAGAAAUGACAUCGAAAAAAUGAAUUCAGCUGUUCGGUUUAUGAAAUUUAAUGUUUUUUCAAAUUACUCUUUAACCAUAGGGAAUUAGAAAAAACUUUCAACAUGUGGAAGGAGCGGUUUUGCAGCAGUUUUCCAAUGCAAUAUUAUAUGCCUCAUUCCGAUAAACGGUUUAGAAAUGCGAUCGAAAAUACGAUUCACGUUUUUUGUGCGAAGAAAAAAAGGUUUUCAAAACUGCUCUUAAACCGCUUAUAUUUUGCCAAAAAUUUAAGUUGGGUCAUGAUAUUGGUGUCCAUAGCUUUCCAACAGUAUAUCGCAAGCCCCGUUUGGGCAAUGUUGGCAGAAGUUCAACCGAGUUCACGGGGAAGUUCAACGUACUACUAGCGGGGCAGGUCAGGUUGUGAUCAGAAUAUUAUUCUGAUCCCGUGAUCAUAGUGUAUAUGUAUAUAUAUAUAUAUAUUAUUUUAUAUUUUUUAUAUAGUGUCGGAUAACUUUAACUUUGAAAGAUGGUCGUUGGAUGAGGCCAAUCUGAUGGUGCAGAGAUGGCAAAUUUGAGCACUACUGGCCGUUGGAUAUCAUCUAGAUUCCACCAGAUUUUGCCACAUGUACAAUCUAGAAGACUCCAUGGUUGAACUUAAGCAUAAUGCACAAACCUCAAAACACAAGCACAUCUUCUUUGUUCUAGAAUCUUCCAUAUCAGAAUUGCCCAAAUGUUUUUCUACAUGACUUGCCAUUAUUAGUUUUUACUUUAUGCCUUACAACACACAAUUCCAUGAAUCUUAAAAUAGAUUAGCUUUCUUAUAAAAACUAGAUGAUUUUGGAUGAAAUGAACUAUAAGAAUUAAAUGAACAUCUACAUCAUGCAUAUAUGACUCAAAGCUUACAUGCUAUAAUGUGUUAUUUAUUCAUAAUUUGGUUGCCAAAUCUCAUGCGUGCAAUGCACGUGUACCUUACUAGUCUAAAUGGUGUUUGUGUGUGUGUUGUGUGUGUUAGACACAUUGUACGUAGUAUAUCAUACAUGGUUUAGAUUCCGAACAUCUAACUAGAGCAUACAUGUACUAUGAUUUGAAUUCAACACAAAAUGGAUACAUAUAUUUGAAUUUGAGAUCGUAUGUACAUAUAGUUUGUAUUUAUAUAGUAAUUUACUUCUCCUAUAUUCAUGUCAUGUGUUAUGAAGAUAAUAUUUAGAUGGCUGUAUAACUAACCCGAGUACAAUCCCAUUCAAACAGGGAAAAUGUACUCAAAUUUAGUCCAUAUGCUAGACAACACACAUUAUUUUUUAUUGUUGAGGGAAGUGCAAAUUGUUUUGGUAUUGUACAUGUUAUGUUUGUUGUCCCGAUUUUUUUAUUUUUUUUGUUGUAUUUGAAUGCAUUUCUAGUAAUAUACUAAAAGGGGACAUGGCUCUCUCUAGUGAUGAGGUGUGAAUUGUCUUUUUUUUGGUACACGUUAAGCUCGUCCUCCUAAAAUUUCAACCCGCGCCUUGUUAUGCCGAAAUUUCAAGCUAGCGUCUCUGUCUAUCGUGCUGCGAAACUCCCGCCUCUUCAACCCGCGCCUUGUUACCCCGAAAUAUUUAAGAUAUAUCUUUGUCUUGUUGUGCUCCGACAACUCCCUCCAUCUCAACCCGCGCCUUGCUAUUCCACAACUACAACGCGCGCGAAAACUCCCACCUCCUGUGAAAUCCCGACACGCGAAAUGCCCGUGAUACCCCCGAACCGAAAGAACCACCUCUAAUCAGUGGGGGUACUUUCAUAACUUACCCCACAUUUCAGACAAGCGCGUCCCUAAGCCAUGGUUCCCCACUCCCAUCCCAUCCGCCCACCCAUUCAUACACCGUGGCCGCAAAAACCCGCGAAGCCCCACACCCUCCUCCGUCCGCCACCCUGCCGGAGCCUCUUCCCCGACGACGUCGUCCACAACAACACCUCGACGUCCCUCAUCCACCGUACCGGAUGAGGAUCCAUCAUAUGAUCUCAUCGUCUCGCUGGUUCAGCCACCCCGUCCUCCACCUCCAAGGAGCUGCCCCGAUGUUCCCCUCGUCUUUCACGCCCCCUCCAUUCCCACACCGCCGUCUUCACCUGCACCAUCGAAAGAGCAGCAUCAUCACCGUUUCCUCGGAUGAAGUUGUGGCGUAAUCGGCGCCACCAAAGAGGUUGUACACUAAUCGCCGUAUUUUCUUCUUGAUUCGAUCUCAAGGUGCUGCCAGCACUCGGUCCCAAGCCGACACGGCACGGCUCCAUCCACGGUGGCGUCGCCGGCCACUGCCUCCAUCCACAUCAGUAGGAGUUGCUGCUGCUUUAACUCUUGUUUGCGUUGCUGCUUUGCUCUUGCUCUCGGUCCCCUGCCUGGUCUGCUCUUGCUAUUGCUCUUGCUCUUGCUCUUGCUUGCACUGCUGCUCUUGCUCUUGCUCUUGCUUGCGAUGCUGCUCCUAUUUAGCUACACUUCAUUUGACUGAAUCAACUUUUGGGUUAGUCGAUUUUCAGGGGGUGGGGGGCUCGCCGGAGUUAAGGAAGAACCAGCCGCAGCAGGGAGGGGGCUCGCCGANNNNNNNNNNNNNNNNNNNNNNNNNNNNNNNNNNNNNNNNNNNNNNNNNNNNNNNNNNNNNNNNNNNNNNNNNNNNNNNNNNNNNNNNNNNNNNNNNNNNNNNNNNNNNNNNNNNNNNNNNNNNNNNNNNNNNNNNNNNNNNNNNNNNNNNNNNNNNNNNNNNNNNNNNNNNNNNNNNNNNNNNNNNNNNNNNNNNNNNNNNNNNNNNNNNNNNNNNNNNNNNNNNNNNNNNNNNNNNNNNNNNNNNNNNNNNNNNNNNNNNNNNNNNNNNNNNNNNNNNNNNNNNNNNNCUGGGGCGGCGGCGGACCGGCAGUGGGGAGUGUUUUCGGGGCAGGCGGGGCGGCGCACCGCCGGCCGCGGGCGAAGGGGGCGGUUGUUUGGCCGGUGGUAACUGGCGGCUCAGGGGGGUGAAGGUUGAAGAUGAACUGCAGACCCUUGAUUUCGUAUCCAACGGCUGCAAAAUCGACUGACCACAAAUGAAAAAGUCAGUCGACUGACGUGUAGCCUCACCUCUAGUGCGUUCAGUUUUGACAGUAAAAUUCAGUUUCGACAGCAACAUUCAGUUUCGACAGUUAAGUUCAGUUUCGACAGUUAAGUUCAGAGAUGAGCGGCUGAUGUGUAUUUUACAUCUAGCACUUUGUGGUUAUGUAUUUUACGUCAUCUAUUGGAGAUGCUAUUAGAAGUCCACUUAGGUUAACAUUAUCUCUCUUGUCCUGCUUCAGCCUCGGUGUCGUACAACUCACCGAAGCUGCUCCAACGACCAAAGCCUCCAUCACAGCGGAGCAGUACCUCGGGCUCCAUCUCCAAACGCCUAAGAUCUUCUUCCCCUCUUCCGAUAGCCAAGUCAGCCGGAGCAUCUCACUGGCCAACCCAAUCACGCUGAGAUCGACAUGGCUUCGCCAAAGAGGUUGUACACUUGUUGCAUCUCUUUUUUACUCUACAUGUUAUAUAUAUUGUCCACUGAGCACACGUAGUAACGUGAAAUAAUAUAUGAUAAGUAGUGAGGUACCAGGUAACUUAGCUAUCCGUGAUGGACUCUCUUGAAUGCCAUCAUUAUUUAUCUCUGCGCGUUUGAGCUGUGCAUUUGUCUAUGGGCCUGGGAGUUAGCUAGUAGGGCAGUGGCCUGGGUCCAAAGUAAUAGAAGUAGCACAAAACCAUUUUUUUUAGUGUAGGCUUUUCCUUGCUCAAGCUUGCCUACUAGAAUUGCCAGUGCUUGAAAGGAAAAGUGAAUGAAAAACAUAGGAAUUGGAAAGUUUCCUAUGGUACUACUAUUCAUGAAUUUGGUUCAAAGGAAUGGAGCAAAGGAGUAGGAUUUGUUCCUUUAGUGUCUCCUUGAAAGAAAAACCAUAGGAAUUUUAAUUUCCACUUGUCCUCCUUUUCAAAUUCCUAUUCAUGAAGCACAAGACUAAGAUAUAGUAGCAUAGUAGCAUUAUAAUCGUACAUUUUCUUGUGGUUUGACUUAAUCUCACCAUGCUUCUUUGCAUCCAGUGAUCUUCCAAUUCUUGUGAAUCAAACAUCCAGAUAGGCAAAAAUCCUAUGUUUUUAAAUUCUCUGUUUUGCACGUGCAUUCCUAUCCUAUUCUUGUCUAUUUCCUAUCCCUGCAUUGUUAGAAUCCUCAAAUUCAAACAAGCCCUGACACAAUUACUUCUGUUACAGAUAUGUGUCAAAGAAAACCAUGUGUGGUUUGUCCUGCUCCUGCGGCACUGUGUUCCACCCCAGCUCAGCUGCUCCAACGACGGAAGGGUUCACCAUAGCAGGGAUCCGCUCUCCAGACUGUCUUUCGCCGCCUCGGAUCUUCUUCCCCGCCACCGGCAGCCACGACAACUGCAUUACCAUCAUCAACUGAGCAGAUGACCUUGAGGACUACACGGGUCCGCAAGAGAGGUCACACUCUUCCGUGUCUGCUUAUGUUAUGCAUCGCUUAAUAUGAUGCCAUGCUACUUUAUCAUCGUGUUCACCUGUUAGACUCCGAGUCAGGUCCAAACUAAUGUUGAAACUUGAGUUUUUAAAUGGUUGUGGGGUACAUAUUGGGGCAACAAUCAGUACUAUCUAUCUACUAUCUGGUUAAUCUCGGGUGUCUACUAUGAGUUUCAUGUUGGGUGCAAACAAACAUUAAAGGAGCCAUUAUCUGUAUUUUUUAACUAAAGCUAUUAUCUACGUGUUAUCAUUGGUUUUGGGUCUAUCCACAGUUUGCUACCAUCACUCUGGAUUUGUGCAUGCACUCCUUACAUAAUCUCACUAUGUUUUAUUCCUAUGCAUGUCAGUUAUUGUACACAAUGGAACCGAACAUGCAGAGCAAAAGAGACGAGCCUCGUGUGGCAAUAAAAUUUCAUGCAGACGUCGCUCCAUGGUGGGUGCAAAGGCAGCCCCCCUCCACCCAUUUCAGAUCAUAAUCAAGAGGAAGAUAAUUGUUCCGAGGGGGAUUCAGAAGGAGAAGACCACUCCUAUUUACCCCAUGAGGUCUUCGCUCUAACUUGGCAUGCUGAUGUUGGUAAUAUCAUGCAUAUGGUGCCUUGCAUUGCUUACUGUAUACAUCAAAGAUGUCAUCUGCUUAGUUCAGACAUGAUUUGUGUCAAUGCCAUAUGUUUAGUUUCUUUAUUGUAUAUGUGAAUCAUGCAAUGCCAUCUUGUUUAGCCAGGCAUCAUAUAUGUGAAUUUUUUAAUGCCACCCUGGUUAUCCAGUCAUCUUAUAUGUGAAUUAUAUCAUGCCAUCAUUUUUUAUUACAUGUUAAAUUUGUCAACAAUUUUAGUACAUUCAAUUACUCUUCCUGUGCAUCAGCCAUUCGACGCGAUCAUGGAAAAAUCUGGAGUGGAAACAAGGUCUUUAGAGCAGACAAUGCUAUCUGACGAAGCACAUGCCUUGCUGGUUACGGAUAGCUCCUCAGAGGAGGANNNNNNNNNNNNNNNNNNNNNNNNNNNNNNNNNNNNNNNNNNNNNNNNNNNNNNNNNNNNNNNNNNNNNNNNNNNNNNNNNNNNNNNNNNNNNNNNNNNNNNNNNNNNNNNNNNNNNNNNNNNNNNNNNNNNNNNNNNNNNNNNNNNNNNNNNNNNNNNNNNNNNNNNNNNNNNNNNNNNNNNNNNNNNNNNNNNNNNNNNNNNNNNNNNNNNNNNNNNNNNNNNNNNNNNNNNNNNNNNNNNNNNNNNNNNNNNNNNNNNNNNNNNNNNCAUGCUCUAACUUGGUAGGGUUAUGUUGCUCUUGCAUUGCUAUGUCAUUUGCUUAGUUUAGACAUGCUUUGUGUGAAUGCCACAUGUUUAGUGUAUAAUUACCAUAUAUGUGAAUUAUGCAAUGCCAUCUUGUUGCAAGACAUUAUAUAUGUGAAUUAUACAAUGCUAUCUUGUUGCAAGGCAUUAUAUAUGUGAAUUAUGCAAUGCCAUGCUGUUUAGCCAAGUGUCAUAUAUGUGAAUUAUAUCAUGCCAUCCUUUUUUGUAUUUCUCAUUGCUUUUGUCGACAAUGUUUGUAUAUUCAACUGCUCUUCCUGUGCAUCAGCCAUUUGAAUUGGUGAUGGAGAAAUCUGGAGUGAAAACAAGGUCUUCUGAGCAGACAAUGCUACCUGCUAAAGCAGAUAUCUUGUUGGUUACAGAUAGCUCUUUAGAGGAGGAUUCAGAGGCAGAUGACCAGUCCUAUUAUCCCCCUGAGGUGUAUGCUCAAACUUGGCAGGGUUAUAUUACUCAUAUCAUGCAUAUGUUGUAUUGCAAUGCUUAGUUUUAACAUCAUAUACACAAUAUUGAAUGCCAUCUCCUUAGUUGACACAUCAUAUAUGCAAUUGUCCUCUGCUCACUCUUAGUAUAUAAAUCAUAUAUUUGAAUUAUAUCAUGUCAUGAUGUUUACAUAGACAACAUAUAUCUGAAUUAUGGCAUGCCAACCCAUUUUCUAAAGACAUAAUAUAGUUAUAUCAUCUCAUCAUGUUUACAUAGUCAUCAUAUUUUGAAUUAUGCCAUUUUAUCCAUAAAUUAUAUCAUGCCAUCAUGUUUCCAUCGAUGGCAUGUUUGUGAUUUAUGGCAUGCCAACCACUUUAAUAGACACACCGUAUAGUUAUAUCAUGCCAUCCUGUUUACAUAGUCAUCAUAUUUUGAAGUAUGUCAUUCUAUCCUAUUUAGUUAGCCAUCAUACAUGUGAAAUUGUGUCAUGCUAUCCUGUUUAAUUAGCCAUUAUAUAUGUGAAAUCAUGUCCUGUUAUUCUGUUUGGUUAGACAACAUAAAUGUGAAUUAUUUCAUGCCAUGUUUUCUUCCCUAUUAUCCAUUGCACAUGUCUAUCUUACAAUGUCUGUACAUUCAAUUACUUUUCUUGUUUAUCAGCCAUUUCAAUUGGAGGGGGUGAUGGCAGUAUAUGUGGGAGUAAAAACACGAUCUUCAGAAAAGAUCGUGCUACCUGUUGAUGCAGAUAGAAUCACGGUUGUACUUGCCCAAGAACCAACCCCACCACACAUAACCCAGACUCACGUAGAUUGUACCCCUACCCAGUUGGACAGAGAACCAGCUACACCCCUUCUAACCCCAACCCCAACAGAUAGUAACCCAAUUCCCAUUGACACAUCACCGUCUCAACCACAGAGCACCCAAACACGAGCAGUUAGUAAGGCAACUUCAGUGCCCAAAGCACGAGGACCGCCACUCUAAAUCCCAAGUCAACACUUAAAGCAGAAGAAGAAUUGUUCUCAGGUCAGGUUACGUAGCUAUGGUUCAUACUACUUUGCUCUUGCAUCACUGUAUUUACUCAUACCAACUAAUUUCAAAUUUGAAGGAUGCAAUUGAAACUCCAAUGGCGUAACAGGUAUGUUUUAAACAUGUUUCUUUAACGUGUUUGCUGUUGUAACUUGCUCUAUGUUGAUUUUAGUUUCAAUUGAAUAAGCAAUUAUGUUCUCAUGCCAUGCACAUUACAAGUGUUGUUAUUGCUGUGUAGUUUCCCACACUUAUAUUCUGUCUAUGCUGCUUUGUCUUAAAUAGAUAUGAUUUGAACUGUAUCUAUCUUGAUUUGGCAACAUAAACUAGAAUGAUAUAGACCAUACAGUGACCAUACUACAUAGAUAUAUGUUUGUUUCAUGUUGUUAUCCUGUCCACCUUACUACUGAACUGGUUUACCAAAAUGAGUUUCAUAUACUACAUUGUAAACUUGUGAUGUGUUUGUUUGUUUCUCUUUUAGAACACGGAUAAAAUAUUGGAGAAGAGUACCCCAUUAUACAAUGGUAAAGGAAAUAAUGCAGAUAAGGUCCAAGAUAGUGAGACAUCCCUGUUGGUCUCCAAGAAAGCUGAUAAAAACUAUAUUGAAGACACUGAGACAACCCCAAAGUCAUGUCUUGAUGUAGUGUUCAAGUUACUGGCUACUACUGCUGGCACCAACUCUUCAAACUCACUGCCUGAAUCAGUUUGGCUUCUUGAGUCUCAACUUCAAGUUGAAAGACAUUGAUCAGAUGUUAUGCGACAGGAAGCUGAAGGACUGAGGAAGUCCCUGUAGAAUUAGAUGCAUACUUUCUGGUGCAACAGCAAGUGCUGGAGGAUUUAAGCGCCAAACAAGAGAAAGUUAAUAAGCUUGAUAAACCUCUUGCCAGCAUUAUGGGUACCCAUGAUAUUGUUUCUUGAACUCUUCUAAAGUGGUUUCAGUUCUGGACUUGUUUUGCUGCGGCGUUUAUAUGCUGCUUUGUCCCCUGUAUUUGCACUGGUGGCGAACUUUGAUGCCCAGUGGAUGUAAUAUGUGUAAUAGCCUAGCGUAAGUUGCUUGCUUAUUUAUUUCCUUAUUGUCUUGUUUCUUUGUUUUCUCGUAGUUAGUGCAGUUCUUUUUCCGUGGUUUGCUAGUGGCCGCAAUAACCUAUUUUUUAAAACUAGGCCACAAUAACCAUGGGCUACAUAUUUACUGUAGUUACCAUGGGCCUCCUACGGGCUGUAGAAAUAAUGGGCUUUCUAAGGGUCGUAUAAAUAAUGGGCCUCCUACAGGGCGUAGAAACAAUGGGCCUUCUACGGGCCGUAUCAUCAAUGGGCCUUCUACGGGAUGUAUGAUUGGUUGGCCAAACAUGGGCCAAUAACAGACUGCAUUAUGGUCGUAAAUGGGCUAGAGUUGGAAUCGUCCGUUCAUGGGCCGACCAUAACGGGUCGUCGUUAAUCGGCGGUAUUUGAUGACGUUAUGAAAACGACCCAACGUAUUAACAGGCCACAAACGGGCCGACUGUAACCACAGGCUGAAUUUGUCACACAAGCAGAAAAUGACAGUAACGGGUCGUAAGUAAAUGAAUGCUGGAAAUGAGCCCAAGAAUAAAUGGGCCCUGAGAAGGCCGAAAGAUAACAUGGGCUGGAAAUGGCCCAAUGGAAUAAUGGGCCGUUAAUGGGUAUAAAGUGAUACACUCUUCAUUACGGGCCAGUUUCACCACAGGCCAUUAAUGGGUAUAAAGUGAUACACUGUUCAUUACGGGCCAGUUUCACCACGGGUCGUUAAUGGGCCAAGAGUUACAAAGGGCGUCAUAUGGGCCGAAAGACGUCAUGGGCCAUACAUGGGCCGGAAGUUAAAACGGGCUGGAAUUAUAUUGGACAUCCCAGAUGACGCUACUGGGCCUAAUUCGGAUAGGUCCUAACGAGCCCUGGGUUAGCGGGCUGUAAAUGGGCUAUAUGCGAACAGGCCAUUAACAGGCUUUCCAUGGGCCGGCCCACCCCCUUUCGACCAAGUCAAACGGGCCAGCCUUUUCAUAGGAAUGGGCCUCUAUUGGGCCGUGCCAUGUGUCGACGUAUCAUAGGCGCCUUCGGUCCAAUGAGUGGAUGACGUUUGUCCCAACGGUGAGCCGACACGUGUUUCCUCCAGCCAAUGAUGCUUUUACACGUGGAAAAUCCCCAUUGGUCGGGGCUGUUAACGGGUUAUCGGAUCCAAAACUAGACCCGAUAGCUUAACGGCGUUUCAUUACGGUGGAUGCCACGUGUCGGUCACCCUUGACGAAAGCACUUCUAUGACGCGUGAUUUAUCGUCAUGGAAGUGGACACUUCCAUGAUGAUAAUUUUGGUAAUGUCAUGGAACACUUCUACGACAACAUAGGUAUGACUAUCUUGAUUCUGUCAUAAAAUCGUCAUGUAUGUAAAUGCAUGACAGAAAACGUGACCUACUGUGCAAACACGUAUCAUCACGGAAGUGUAUUUUUUUGUAGUGUAUACAUACGCAAAGAGGCUGGGGUUUUUCUCAAGUUUGACAUUUCGAGAGCCUUUGAUUCCAUUUCUUGGGCAUUCCUCUUCAAGGUCCUCAGAUGCAAGGGUUUUGGGAAAAAGCAGUGUGCAUGGAUUGCCAUCCUUCUGCGGACGUCCAACACCAAAGUGGUCGUCAUUGGGAUUCUGGGACGUAGUUUCAUGCAUGUACAACCCAGUUUCCCCCCUACUGUUCGUGAUUGCGAUGGCGUCCUGACUAGAGUUAUGGGCAAGGUUGCUCGAGAGGGGGUGAUCAGCUCAUUCAUGAGAAUCUCUUCUAUACAAUACCUAUCCAUUUUCGCCGAUGACGUGGAACUUUUUAUCCGCCCCACCUGAGGGAGUCCUGGUUUCGGGGGUAUCCGGACAGCCGGACUAUGUACAUCGUCCGGACUAUUGAAGCGUGAAGAUACAAGACUCAAGACUCCGUCCCGUGUCCGGAUGGGACUCUCCUUGGCGUGGAAGGCAAGCUUGGCGAUCCAGAUAUUAUAUUUCCUUCCUUGUAACCGACUCCAUGUAAACCCUAGCCCUCUCCGGUGUCUAUAUAAACCGGAGAGGUUGGUCCUUAGAAGGCCGAUCACAAUUACAAUCAUAAUCAUCAUAGGCUAGCUCCUAGGGUUUAGCCUCUACGAUCUCGUGGUAGAUCUACUCUUGUACUACUCAUAUCUUCAAUAUUAAUCAAGCAGGAAGUAGGGUUUUACCUCCAUCAAGAGGGCCCGAACCUGGGUAAACAUUGUGUCCCUCGCUUCCUGUUACCAUCAGCCUAAGACGCAAAGAUCGGGCCCCCCUACCCGAGAUCCGCCAGUUUUGACACCGACAUUGGUGCUUUCAUUGAGAGUUACUCUGUGCCGUCGCUGCAAGGCUCGAUGGCUCGUCUCGUUAUCAAGGACAACAUUACCUCUGGGGGAGAGCCGGUUGUAGGCCAAACUCUCCGACUUGGCAGCUUCAUCAUGGCCGCCCCAUCGACUGCCGCCCCGACAAUGGCCUCUCGGGUCAUCACGCAUAACCUUCGCGUCAAUUCGGAACUUGCCGAACAGAUGGAUUUGACGGAGCUCUCAUCCCUUAAUGAUCUCUUGGAUCGCAUCGCCGCCUUGGGAGUCGCUACGGACUAUGACCGGAUCGGGCUUAAACCCGACCAAAGGGACAUUAAAUCCCCGCCGGCCACCCAUGAGAUAGCGGUAGUGGAGGAACCACACACGGAUUACCCCUCAAUUUUGAGGACGAAUUAUGUCCGGAUCACUGAUCUCCCUGAGCCGGACACCCGUCCAAGGGAAGACAUGACCCGGAUCCCAGACUUAGAAUUGGGCAUUGGGCCGGAGAAAUUGGGUGGCACCCCGGAUCCCGAGCUGUCAGGCUCAGAAGCUCCCAUGCCCCUGGGUACUAGAUCAGAUCAGAAUUCGGAUUCAGCUAUUUACACCCACACGGACUUAAACUGUCUCUCCCAUAUCAGGCAAGAGCCCUAGGAGAUAGUACAUCAUUACUGGGCCAGAUUCCUCCUUGUGCUAAACAAGGUCAAGGACUGCCGCGAGGAGGACGUAGUCUCACUUUUCUGCAAAAACUGCACGAACAAAGGAAUCCUUAAUGCUAUAAGUCGCCGUGACAUAGUGCACUUUGCGGACUUGGCAACCAUAGUACAUAAGUACUGUGCGAUGGAAAGUGCCUGGAAAACCCAAACAGAAUUUUGGGAUAGUCCGCUCUCACCAAAACCUUUGUCCAAAUUAAACGAGCGAACUCUCGUAGGUCGACCGAUCCAAUCCCCAAGAAACCAAAGCCCACCCUAGGGUGGGGAACCGUAUUGGAAGAAUGGCUCAAUGGGCCAUGUAACCUCCAGAGUACUCCGGACACAAUACCAACUCAUAGCCUUAGGGCAUGUUGGAUACUCCGGCAGGUUGCAAAAAGUGGCGAGGAUCUUCUUGCAAGCCAUAAAGCAGACCAACAUCCCGCCAACAAACACAAUACGGUACUAACAGUCUUCGAGACUUUUGCCUCAAACAAUAGGCGCAAGCGAGCUCAUCGAAGCUCCACUGAAAUUUGCCAUGUGGCAAAAAUAAACCCCUGGAACAACACUGCUAUAACUUUCAAUGCCAAUGAUGAACCUCGAUUCCAGACUGUGCGGGCACCAGCCGCUCUGGUCCUUAGCCCAAUCGUGGACAGCUUUCGGCUCACUAAGGUACUCAUGGACGGCGGAAGCGGAUUAAAUUUGAUCUAUGAAGAAACACUCAACAAGAUGGAAAUUGAUAAAAGUCGCAUUAAACAAAGCGGCACAACCUUUAGGGGAAUUAUUCCUAGUUGAGAAGCGCGGUGUGCGGGAAAAAUCACACUCGAUGUGGUAUUCGGCACCCCGGAGAAUUAUAGGUCCGAAGAAAUUACAUUCCAAGUGGCUCCUUUUAGCAGCGGAUACCACGCCCUUCUAGGGCGGGAUGCGUUUGCAAGCUUUCAAGCUAUACCCCAUUACGGGUACAUGAAGCUUAAAAUGCCCGGACCCAAUGGAAUCAUCACUCUAGCCAGUGAUCCAGACGUCGCACUUCGCGCCGAAAACAAAACCGCAGCUCUAGCCCUGGAAGCAUUAUCCCAAGCCCUAGCAGCGGAAGAAUUAACAACACUGCGGGCCACCGUGGACAGGGACGACGUGAUACUCGACAAGCGACCCAAGUCCACCUCAUUUAAACCCGCGGACGAGAUAGUCAAAUUCCAAGUCCAUCCAACGGACCCCACAAAGACAGCUUCCAUCGAGACACAGUUGAGCCCCGCAAUGGACACCGCAUUACGAGACUUCUUACGCGAGAAUUGGGACAUUUUCGCAUGGCACCCAUCGGACAUGCCGGGCAUCCCACGUGGAUUGGCCGAACAUAGCCUUAACAUACUAAAGCGAUACAAACCUGUCAAACAGACCCUAAGGCGAUUUUCAGAGCCCAAAUGACAAGCAAUGGGGGAAGAGCUAGCCAAGCUACUUGAGGCCGGAUUCAUCAGAGACAUCAAACAUCCGGAUUGGCUGGCAAAUUUGGUAAUGGUACCAAAAAGAACAAAUCCUGGCGCCUAUGCGUCGACUUCAAAGACCUCAACAAGGCUUGCCCCAAGGAUCCCUUUCCCCUCCCUCGCAUCGAUCAAAUCAUCGAUGCCACAGCUGGACACGACUCGCUGUGUUUUCUCGAUGCAUACUCUAGAUACCAUCAAAUAAAGAUGGCAGAGUCUGACCAAGCUGCAACAGCUUUCAUAACGCCAUAUGGCCCUUUUUGCUUCAACACUAUGCCUUUCGGGCUUAAGAACGCCGGCGCAACCUAUCAACGCAUGAUUCAAACAUGCCUGGAAAAACAAAUUGGCAAAAUAGUGGAGGCAUACGUGGACGACGUGGUCAUAAAAACAAGACAUGUCGAAACCCUAAUAGAUGACUUGAGGCUUACAUUCGAUAACCUCCGGACAUACGACAUCAAGUUUAAUCCGGAAAAAUGCGUUUUCGGCGUCCCCUCGGGGAAACUGUCGGGCUUCAUUGUUUCCAAUAGAGGAAUUGAAGCGAAUCCGGCAAAAAUCCGAGCUUUGUCUCAGUUGGCUAUACCAACAGACCUCAAGCACAUCCAGAAACUAGCUAGAUGCGUGGCCGCUUUGAGCCGCUUUAUCUCCAGGUUAGGAGAAAAGGCAUUACCUCUCUACCGCCUCCUUCGGUGCACCGAACACUUCAUGUGGACGGAUGCAGCAGCGGCCGGACUCGACGAAAUAAAGACCUUACUGGCUAGUAAUCCAGUCCUAAUAGCGCCAAAUAUCGGCGAGCCUAUGCUCCUGUACAUAGCUGCAACACAUCAAGUGGUAAGCGCAGUGCUCAUCGUCGAAUGAGAGGUUGACGGAUACAAAUUCCCGCUCCAAAAGCCGGUUUAUUACGUAUCCACGGUCCUCACCCCAUGCAAAUCCCGAUACCCACAUUAUCAAAAAAUAGCAUACGCGGUCUUCAUGGCAUCCCGGAAGCUGCGACACUACUUUCAAGAGUGUUCGAUUAUGGUGGCCUCCAAAGUACCACUCAGUGACAUAAUAAAUAACCGCGACGCUACAGGCCGGAUUGCUAAAUGGGCUAUCGAGCUCCUUCCGUUCGACAUAAUAUACAAACCACGGCGGGCCAUCAAGUCGCAAGUACUGGCUGACUUUGUCGCCGAAUGGACAGAAGCCGAACUCCCUAAAGAGUACGGCGCCUACUCCAACUAGAUCAUGCACUUCGACGGCUCUAAAAUGCUGGCCGGAUUGGGAGCAGGUGUAGUCCUGACGUCUCCCACCGGAGACACAGUCCAGUACGUCGUUCAAAUAUUAUACACAGACUCCAACAAUGCACCCGAAUACGAGGCCCUGUUGCACGGUCUUCGGAUGGCAUUCUCUAUGGGCAUCCAACGCCUGGAAGUGCGCGGGGAUCCGAACCUCACAAUAUCACAAAUAAACGGAGACUUUGAUGCCAAGGAUCCGAAAAUGGUGGCCUACCAUAAUGCCGUCCUCAAAAUAUCAGCUCGGGUCGAGGGGCUCGAAUUCCACCAUGUGGCUCGAGAAAACAAUCAAGCGGUGGACGUCCUCGCCCGCAUCGGUGCUAAAGCGACCCUGGCCCACCUAAUAUAUUCCUGGAAAGGUUGUUCAAGCCAUCCGUAGUGUGGGAAGGGGAGUCCGGUAAUACUAGCACGGAUUCGAACACACCCCCAGAUUCCAAACCAUCAGACACAAUCGGAGGCUCUGCCACAGAAAUAACAUCUUUGGCCCACGAAAUGAUGGCCGUAAUCGCCCAGUGGACUGAACCUUUCUUGGCCUACCUAAAUAGGCAGGAUCUCCUCGAAGACCAAAAUGAAGCAUGCUGCAUCGUCCGGCGUUCUAAAGCUUACAAAGUCCACGAAGGGGAACUCUAUAAGAAAAGUGCUACCGGAGUGCUCCAAAGAUGCAUCUCCAAAGAGGAAGGGCGGCAGCUCCUGGCUGAAAUCCAUGCCGGACUGGGCGGGCACCACGCCACGGCUCGAGCACUAGUCAGCAAGGCCUUCCGUACAGGCUUCUAUUGGCCGACGGCCCGAGCAGACGCACAGGACCUUGUCCAACAUUGCGUCGGUUGCCAGCUCUUUGCCAAUCAGAGUCAUAUGCCCCCUACUGCUCUCCAAACAAUCCCCAUAACUUGGCCCUUCACGGUCUGGGGGCUGGAUAUGGUCGGACCUCUUAAAGGGGGAAGCCAUAAGAAAAAAUACUUAUUGGUCAUGGUGGACAAGUUCACCAAAUGGAUAGAAGCCAAACCAGUCAAAACAAUCGAAUCCGGACCAGUAAUAGACUUCAUAUCCGCGGUCAUAGACCGAUACGGUGUCCCCCACAACAUCAUCACUGAUAAUGGCUCAAAUUUCACAGCCGAUGAAGUGAAAACUUGGUGCGAAAAAAUGGGCAUUAAGCUUGAUUACGCUUCCGUCUACCAUCCCAAACAAACGGCCAGGUAGAGUGGGCAAAUGGUCUCAUCAUGAGCGGCAUCAAACCCAGACUAGUGCGAUCCUUGACAGAGUCGGAUAUGCACUGGGUCAAAGAGCUCGACUCCGUACUCUGGGGGCAGCGAACCACGCCGAAUCGCACCACCGGAUAUACACCAUUUUUAUGGUAUACGGCGCGGAAGCAGUACUACCCUGCGACAUAAUACAUGAUUCGCCACGCGUACGCAUGUACGAAGAGAAGGAAGCCGAGUUAGAUUGGCAGGAUAACUUGGAUGCCCUGGAGGAGGAGCGCGACGUUGCAAAAGCCCGCUCCGCAUUCUAUCAGCAGCAGGCUCGACGAUACCAAAGCAGAGAAGUGCGGCCCAAAACUUACAAUAUUGGCGAGCUCGUUCUACGCCUACCGGAGAAGAAGAAGGACAAGCUCAAACCCAAGUGGGAAGGUCCCUUCGUCAUUGACAAAGUCCUCACCGGAGGCGCGUACCACUUACGUAAUGCAUCUGGUAACAGACUCGAGCCGAACCCAUGGAACGCGGCCAGACUCCGGAGAUUCUACGCCUAACACCGAACUCAGUGUUCGUCUCCUUACCCCUCCUUUUUAAUUAUGCUCCACCCCUUUUUCCUUUCUCGACCUUUUUCCUCUUCACACAAAGUAUUUAAUACAGUGCGGACUCCCGGAUGACUCCGGCCGCACUAUGUGUGUAAGCAAUACCUGGGGGCUUCCUAUACGGAAGCUAAAAAUAAUUACUCUAAUGGCUUUUUGCCCAUCACAUAUGAGUUUCUUUUUUUUUCAUAUGUGCCUUUUCUUCACCAUUAUAUGCAUCGAUAUGACUUAAGAUGUGGCCAAGCUGGGUUGCCUGGCUCUUGUGUUUAUGCCCUACGUUCCCAUUAAUUCGGCUAGGGCAUAAGGGGAGCACCUCUGCGAUUGUUACUGCCGGUUCAGCCGGAUGUGUACCUCAGACUGGGUGAAGCCGAAAGCUAGUUUCCUUAAGAGAAUAUUCGGUCGGUGAACAAAAGAUGUAUUCGUUUAUUACAACGUAAAUCCCCAGAAGUCUUGUAUCCUGCGCCAUCGGACGCAGUCCGUACAUGCACAUUGUCGCAUGCGUACCCAGGGAAAGGAACCCCUAACGGAACUAUUCUCCCUGGAAGAUGUUUCUUACUAUCCAUGUAAUAUAAAAUAACUAGUUGGGUACUUGUCUGUUCAAGCACUUAUGACCCCUACGCCUGGUUUCCACGCAUACCCUGGUUUUGUAUAACUGAGUGGGUAUUCGGACACACCCCGGACUAUAGGAUCCGGGGGCUGAAGCGAAAAGGUCCGCCAUGACAAAUGAUUUUAAUCCGGCUAGGGACUAAUUAUGUCCAUUGAAUUACACAGUCACUUGGACUGACUAUAUUCCUCCUCUAUACCAUCCAACAGGCUAUCUAACUUACAAUCCUAUUGAGACUACUUGGCGGCUAAUGCUACCUGGUCAUAUACCAGACUCAAGGGAAUCUCUUGCCCAUCGGGCCCCGCCGGUCCUACUUUGGCCAUAUGGUUCGGGUCCAGCUUGGUGUAGCGCGUCUUCACCAUAGCCCAGGCUUCUCUUGCACCUUGCCGGCAAGCUGACAUCUUCCACAAUCGGAAGCGCCGCCGUGCUCCUUGAAGCAUAUCCACAAGGUCCUCCAUGCCAUUCGGCAGUACGCUUGAUGGCCACAAGGCCUCGGCAACACCCUGCAUCACUUGCCGAGAUCGCUCGUGCAGUUGUGAGAGGUCUUGCAGUAAAUCACUUGCAGAUGAGGGCAUCUCCUCCUCAGGGCGACCUGUUAACAUUCCUGCAAGCAAAACUCUUUCAAUAUACUUCCUUACCGAACUAUCAUACAGUUCGUCUAGGCACUCACCAUAAACGCCGCGUCGAAGCCUUUUGUUCUCCUUCACGGAGUCCGCCAGCUGGGCGCGGAUGUCUUUUAGUUCUACGUCCAGCCGGACAUUGACAUCUUGAAGAUUGUUCUUCUCCUGCCUAACUUGCGUAAGAAUGCACUCGCCAGCCUUUAGCUGCCUUUUGAGAUGCGAGUCGUCAUCUCUUACGCCCUCCGGAUUCACCACGGGAUUGUCUGCAAAAUUCUCUGUUAGACUUGCUAUACCAACCAUUUACUAACUGGUGCAUCUUCGUACAAUUGAGACAAAUGUUACCAGAUGAGGCCUUCUGGGAUUCCUCUAAUUUGGCAACUGUGUCCCUUAGCUGGGCCUUGCAUUCCUCCAGCUCCCGAGCCAAUUGUUCAUUCUUAUCUACAAGGACCUGUGCAUAAAUUGAUCCUUCAAACAGUUGUUCCAACCAUUUCAAGUCUCAGGGGCUACUGCUAUACUUGCUUAUCAAAAUUUCUUACCCGUAUAUCUUUGGCAUACUGGCCCGUCGCUCGGGCAAGCCCGCCUUGAGCAGCUCGGAUGUAUGCGUCUCCCGAAUCGAAGGCAUUGAAUGCCUCUUCGGAAAAGAUGUUGUUCCGAAGCACGACCCAUCGGCGUCGGUGAUUCAUGGCGCUCUCUACCUCGGAAUUCGUGGCCGAGAGCAUAUCCGCGUCCUCUGUUGGAGAACUAUGCGGCAUCGACCCCGUGUCCGCCUCCGCUCUCGAAGCCGGUUCUGGAAUCCGGCUGGUGGAGGCGUGAUUGGCGGGAUCCCGGAUAUAGUCUGGCUACUCCUCUUCCUGCCAGGACACCAAGGGCGCUGUUAUACUUCAAAUACCAUAAUCGUAGGACAAGUUUUUGCCUUACCUCUGCAGCGGCAUGUCGACCCUUACCGCCUUCCUCUUGAGCCUGCCCGAUCCGGACGCCCGUGGUCGACGAGUCCCUAGGGGCUCGGCCCCGCGCUCCGACUGCCGUCUCUGCAAAAAAUACGACACUUCAAGGGUAAGGCAUAAUAUCUGAAGGGAGUCCUCUUCGGAGGAUAGGGUUUUUCAGUUUGGCUUACAUGCGAUGUAGGUAGCAGUCUGGGAUAGUCGGCAAUAAUGGCCACUGAGGCACCGUCACGGCUCGCUUGAUAAAAUAUCCCGUUGACAAGCUCCACGAUAAUAUCCGGAUCUUCUUCGAGUCCUAGAUCUAGGGCCCUUCCGGGAUCCUCUGGCUGUGGGGAGGGGCUGGAGAUUCCUUCUACGGCCCUCCUCAGUUCCUGCUCAGAAAUAUCGAAGCAGAUAAUCUUAGCGAAGAACACCGCGAUAAGUGAAGCAGGGAAAGGAACAACGACUUACCCAGUUUGGGGGGUUGUACAUGGAGAAUCCAUCCCGCGGUUUAAUGUGAAGGAAUUCUUCCUCUUCUCCUUUGUAUAAGUCAGACAAUAUCCUUGCCAAGGCACUGGCGGAGUCCGGACCCUUACGGCCACAGCGGGUGCCAUCAUCUUCCCCGUUGAAGUGCCACAUGGGCUUCCCCCGAUAUUGAAGCGGUUGCACCCCCCGUACUAUGCAUAUUGCCAUAACCUCGACUAUCGUCAGUCCGGGCUUGGCCAGUAACUUUAUCCUGCUCAUCAGGAAGUGUAUUUCCCUGGUAUCCUCCUCUUGGGGGCCUCGGGGGCGCCAGCCUAGACGUGCCCUCGGUGGGGCGUCACUGAACUUGGGGAGGCCUGUCCGGACUGGAUCCGGAAGGGGAACGUCCUCGAUGUAAAACCACUCCGAAGGCCAGUUCUCUAGUGCCUUCUUGGGAGUGCCGGAUAGGUAUCCGGUCUCGGCAAUGGGCCAUACUUCAGCCCCGCCCACUUGGCAUAGGGAUUCUCCCUGGUUGCGGGGGACGAGGCAGAACAUCUUCUUCCAUAACCCGAAGUGAGGCUCGCAGCCUAGAAAUAGCUCGCAAAGGGUAACAUACCUUGCUAUGUGUAGUACGGAGGCAGGGGUAAGAUUGCGCAACUGGAGGCCAUAGAACUCCAGGAGCCCGCAAAGGAACGGGUGGAUGGGAAACCCGACGCCCCUUAGCAGAUGCAGGAUGAGGCAUAUUCGCUCCUCUGGAGAUGGAUUAGGAGAUCCCCCAGCUUGUUCCCCUCCGUUGUAGGUGGCUAUUCCGGCUCGAACGGGGACCAUGAACGUCGGCGGGAGAAACCCUUGGGUUUGUAACUCUACCAAACGACUAUGAGGAACUGAACACUCUUCCCAAUCCCCCGGCUUGGAGCGGGGAGAGCGAGCAGAAGAGCUGCGAUGACCGGCCAUGUUGGAAUGUUUUUUUUUUCGGAGCGCUCUGUUGGAUGCUAGCUCGAGGGGGAAGAGUGAGGUUUGGAUCUGAGAAUCCCCGUCUCUUCAAAUAGAUGGUCAGCCCGAAGGAUUGAGGGUGGCAAAUGCAAAAAUGCCUCGGCUCCUCUCAUUCGCCCGACACAUGGAGAUGAUCAUUAUUGAGGCAUUGAAGCCGAGGAGUACAACAUUGAUGGGAAGCUGGACACUAUUCAUCAUAACAGGUACUUUGGAGUAUUCGGAGAUGGAACCCGCCUUGCAAUGCCGAUGACAAGACUGCGCGCCGGACUCAUCGUCAUUGAAGCCUGGUUCAAGGGCUACUGAGGGAGUCCUGGUUUAGGGGGUAUCCGAACAGUCGGACUAUGUACAUCGUCCGGACUAUUGAAGCGUGAAGAUACAAGACUCAAGACUCCGUCCCGUGUCCGGAUGGGACUCUCCUUGGCGUGGAAGGCAAGCUUGGCGAUCCGGAUAUUAUAUUUCCUUCCUUGUAACCGACUCCAUGUAAACCCUAGCCCUCUCCGGUGUCUAUAUAAACCGGAGAGGUUGGUCCUUAGAAGGCCGAUCACAAUUACAAUCAUAAUCAUCAUAGGCUAGCUCCUAGGGUUUAGUCUCUACGAUCUCGUGGUAGAUCUACUCUUGUACUACUCAUAUCUUCAAUAUUAAUCAAGCAGGAAGUAGGAUUUUACCUUCGUCGAGAGGGCCCGAACCUGGGUAAACAUUGUGUCCCUCGCUUCCUGUUACCAUCAGCCUAAGACGCACAGAUCGGGACCCCCUACCCGAGAUCUGCCGGUUUUGACACCGACACCGCCCCCGGUGAUCUGAGAUUUGUGAGAGUUGCUCUGCAAGUGUUUGGGGAUGCAUCAGGUCUAAGGGUCAACUACAGGGAAUCCUCGGUGGUGCUAAUCAGGGGCAACGAGAUGGACCAGCUGAGGGUGGCCGACAUGUUAUAGUGUAGCAUCGGUACAUUCCCAUGCCAAUACCUGGGCUUGCAACUUGCGAUCAAUCAGCUCACGCGCAAUGACUGGCAGCCUAUGAUCGAUAAGGCAAAGCGAUGCGUUCCAGCAUGGUAGAGGAGUUUGAUCCAGAAACCGGGCCUGUUAAUUCUUGUCAAGUCAGUCAUUGCAUCGAGGCCAAUACAUAAUUUCAUGAUGUUGGACGCUCUGGCUUGGGUCUUUGAGGAGUUGGACCAGUGGAUGAGGGCUUUUUUGGGCUGGCAAGGAGAAAACAAAUGGCGGUAAGUGUCUUGUGGCCUGGAGUAUGGUCUGCAGGCCAACAUAUCUUGGAGGGUUGGGUGUCAUGAACCUCAAGUUACAAGCCCUUGCACUGCGUGUACGAUGGGUUUCGUUAAAGAGGACGGGUGUCGGACGAUCGUGGCAAGGGCUACCCAUGAUUGACGACAAAGAUGCUCAUAGAGUGUUCGACAAUAUGGUCAAGAUCGACGUAGGGGAUGGUUCCCGUGUCCUAUUCUUGAGGGACAACUGGAUCCUGGGUUUCACUGUCGUGGACAUCGCUCCCCUCAUUCUUAGAAAGGUGGACACACGCACCAUAAAUAGACGCACGGUGAGUCAGGCGAUGACUGACAACAGAUGGUUCCUUGAUGUCAUGGGUGACCUAUCCUUUACUACGCAUAUGCAGCUGAUGCAUUUGGACAUGGCAAUCAAUGCAGUGCAACGCAAUCCUGCCAGUCGGACCGCUUCACUUGGCCGGCAGAUCCGACUAGUUCUUACUCGGCGAGAUCCACCUAUCGCCACUUGUGCUGCGGUAUUCAGCGUAUCCCUUUUGCUAAUUGCAUCUGGAGGAGCUGGGCUUUGCUUAAGUGCAAAAUUUUCGUCUGGCGAGCGGUUCAGCACCGGAUUUGGACUUCGGACAAACGGGCUAAACAUGGACUAAAAGACCAACCCUCAGCCUGCUACACUUGCAUGAAACAUGAGGACAACGCAGAGCACAUUUUGGUGCAAUGUGUGUAUGCUCGGGAGGUUUGGCACAGAUGCUUUGAUGCUCUAAAUAUCAACGUGUGCCAGCCGGCUCAGCAGGACACCUUUCUGGAGUGGUGGCUCAAGGCCAAAUGGUCUUUUUCUCGUGCUCGCAAAAAAGGAUUUGACACGCUCAUAAUUGCAGCAGCAUGGGCCUUAUGGAAACAAAGAAAUGCUAGGGUGUUCGGUAGGAUGAAUCAGGUCAAGAUGCCCUCUGAGUUGAGGGAGUGAAACCUCCGGGAAGUUCUGGAUUGGAAAAAGGCAGGAAUUGGUGGGAGGGCUGCAACCAUUUGUGAGAGAGUAGGUCCAGUCUUUCUUUGGGUGUUGGUUGUAAGAGCAUCUCCAGCCACGCCCCCAAGCCCCCCAGGGCGAAUUUUUUUUUGCGUCGGCGCCAGAAAAAAACCCUGUCGCGCCCCUAAGACACCGAAAUUCGUCGGCUUGGCCCGUUUUUGGGCCUGGCGAUCCCAGGCCGAUCCCAGCGCACUGGGGGGCACUCGAGGGCUCCUGUAGAAGGGAAAACCACGUCUGGGAGACACUGUCAGGCAAAAAGUAAAGACAAAUAGCCCGAUUCGCCCCCCACCCCCGCGCGACCUCCUGCCACCUUGCCGAUCCCGACGCCGCCCGCCGCCCACCACCGCUAGAUAGGCCAUUCCCCGCCAGAAAAGAGAGGGGUUUCACCGCGGCAACCUCUCCACCAUCUUCCUAAGCGAGUUUUCCGGUGCUCCGGCCGCGCAGGGCAGGAUACCGACGGCCGUGCACCCACCACACCCAGCAGGUGUUCAGCAAUUUGUCUGCUCGAUGAUGGACUCGGACGACGAGGAGGCGCUCGCGGCGCUGCUGGGGGAGGAAGUCGAUGCCGACGUCCAGGACGAAGAGCAUCUCAUGGUCCUUGUCGCCCUGGCCAGCCUUCUCGCGAGCAAUGCAAAGCCGCAGCGAGGUGGCUCGGCGCCGAGGCGGCUGAAAGCAAAGAACCGACAUCGUCUGGAAGGCUAUUGCAUGUUGUACUUUGACUACUUCGCCGAUGCUCCACUGCACGACGACAAAGUAUUUCGGCGCCGUUAUAGGAUGAGCCAAAAGCUUUCUCAAGAUUGUGAAUUCCAUCCGGGAGUUCGAUAGCUACUUCAAGUGCAGGAAGGAUUGCACCGGCAAACUUGGAUUCACCUCAAUCCAAAAGUGCACGACAACUAUGAGGAUGCUUGCAUACGGAGCUCCCUGUGAUUCGCUCGAUGACUAUGGGUGCAUGGCCGAGUCCAUGACCAUUGAGUAUUUCUACAAGUUCUGUAGGGCAGUGGUGGCAGUGUUUGGACCGCAAUAAUUGCGAUCACCCAAUGCUUAAGACACUGCUUGGAUCCUAGCACAGAAUGCAGCAAGAGGAUUUCCUGGGAUGCUUGGAAGCAUCGACUGCAUGAAUUGGAAAUGGAAAAAUUGUCCAUUUGCUUGGCAGGGGAUGUACAAAGGCGCCAAAGGCAGUUGCAGUGUGGUACUUGAGGCAGUGGCCACACAGGACCUCUAGAUUUGGCACUUCUUCUUUGGUAUGCCAGAAACUCACAAUGACAUCAAUGUGCUGCAGUGCUCCCCUGUCUUUGCCAAGCUUGUUGAAGGUCGUUCUCCUCCGGUGAACUUCGAGGUCAAUGGACGGCACUACAACAAGGGAUACUACCUAGCAGAUGGCAUCUAUCCGAAAUGGUCUACAUUUGUGAAGACUAUCUCAAACCCUAUGCUAGGAGGCAAGAACUCUCACUUUGCGAAGGUUCAGGAGGCUUGCGGGAUGGAUGUCGAGUGUGCAUUUGGUGUGCUCCAAUCUCGGUUUGCUGUUGUCCGAUACCCCGCUCAGACCUGGUCGAAAGAUCAAAUGUGGGAGAUCAUGACUUGCUGUGUCAUCUUGCACAACAUGAUCAUUGUGAGGGAGCAGGAAGAGCCAGUGUUUGACACUGAACCAUAUUACAGGCAGGGUCCUCUUGCCCAAGUUGAUCACGAGCUAUCGGCAACCUGGACUGCCUUCCUCAAUAUGCGUCAGGAGAUUCGAGACCCAUAGGUGCAUCAACAACUGCAGCAGGAUCUGGUGGAGCACCUAUAGAGGCUCAAGGCCAACGCCUAGCUCGACAUGUGAUGAAAUAUGAGUUUUUAUUUGUUGAACUAUAUAAUUUGUAUUGAACUAUUUGCUGAACUAUUUUGAUUUCUAUCGAUUUUCUAUGAUGAACUAUGUGUUAAAAAAAUAACUUAUGUUGAAUUUGCACCAAAGCACGGCGAAUAUGGGCCGAUUCGUGCCGAUAGCGGGCCGAUUUUGCGCCGAAAAUUGGCUGAAAAGCAGGCAAAUUUGCACCAAAAUUGGGCCGAUAUCGGCGCCUGGUGCCAACCUGGGGGCGGCGACUGGGAACUUAAUCGCCCCCAAGCCGAUUUUAGCGCCAGUUCGCCCCCAGGCGGCGAUUUUUCAAGCCCCGUGGGGGCCAACUGCUGGAGUUCGACUCGUUUAUUAAGAGUUGUAGCCCGCAUAUGUGUGUUUCAGAUUCUAUAGUACUCGGUUCUUCUGUUCGACGAGUUCUGAUUUUCCUUUUACGUUGACAUAUUUGAAUUGGAUUUUCUUUCACCACUACUAUUGUAAUGCACAAAAAACACUGACGUUUCCGCUCGCUUUCAACCACUGCCACUUUACCUGAGCACUGUGACGCAGUCGGUCAAGUAUUGAGUUUCUGCUAGUAUAUCAAGGUGCUAUCGCUAUGCUCAUGUCUCCCUUCCCUCCUCCAGGUGAGAAGCUGGUGUUGAGAAAUGACAUCCAAUCUUUUGGUAUCGAUCAUAUAUGUUAGGUGGAUAACUUUUUUUCUUCAACAGAAAUGAGCUGAUCUAGUGUUUUUAAAUGACCUUCCCCGAUCAAAGAAGGGCAAAAACUCUCUCGAACAGUGAGGAGCACAACGCCGGGUCGGGACUCAACAGAAUUUGGUGAAGUGUUUGUUCCUGAACGAGGGAAGUGGAAAGACAAAGAGGAAUAGAGAGCUCACCUCCUUUUUUGUAAUCGCCGUAAUUGUACGACGACCCUUCUUGUUCCAAGCAUACAACCCUGAGACGUGACGGUGUAGAUGCUCUAAUGGUGUUGGGGCUUUGAGGCGAUGCGUGAAUCGCUUCUUUAAAGCUCUUGUAAACUUUCUGACCUCCUUCUAUAAUGUUUGGCCUACUCUCGAAAAAUAAAAGUCUACGAACGACGAGGAAAGAGAGCCGCGACAUCCGGUCCAGUCAAAUCCAAGUAUCCAAGUCCAAGGUGUGCGAAAUUUCGGCAAGCUGCCAAAAACUCCUCUUGCCGGCGCCCGUCCGGCCGCCCCCACAAGCCACGAAAUCCUCGCCCAUUUAGCCACACAGCCAGCGGCCGGCGACGCACCCGAAGCAGCGCGCGCAGGCUACCCCAAAACCACCGGAUAGUCAAUCCCUCGGCGGUCCACGAGCGCGAGAGGAAGCAGCGGCAGCGAUGGAGCCGGAGGGGGUGCGGCACCGGAUGGUGGAGGUGGCGAAGGGGGUGCGGCUGCACGUGGCGGAGGCGGGGCCCGAGGACGGCCCCGCGGUGCUGCUCGUGCACGGCUUCCCGGACCUCUGGUACGGCUGGCGCCACCAGAUGGCCGCCCUGGCGGCCCGGGGCUUCCGCGCCGUCGCGCCCGACAUGCGCGGCUACGGCGACUCUGACGCCCCGCCCUCCGCGGGCUCCUACUCCAUCUUCCACCUCGUCGGCGACCUCGUCGCCCUCGUCGCCGACCUCGGUCAGCCCCAGGUCUUAGCAUCGAACCCGUUCUCCCUUCGAGACCCCUCACGCCUGCCAUGCUCCUUGCUAAGAUUGCUGUUCAAUUCUCGGGCUCGCGUGGCAGGUGUUCGUGGUUGGGCACGACUGGGGCGCACUCGUGGCAUGGCAGCUCUGCCUGCUCCGCCCGGACCUUGUGCGGGCGCUGGUUAACCUCAGCGUGGCCUACCACCCGCGCAGCUCCGAGGGGAGCCCGCUCCAGGUCAUCAGGGCCUUGUGCGGGGAAGACCACUACAUGUGCCGUUUCCAGGUGGAGCCCUUCAUCUCCUUUCUGUCCUGCUUAUGGCAGACAGAAUCAAUGUCAUUAUGAGUUGUGUUCAUCUGUCCUGACGACUUUACUGGAUAGGGGUCUGUUUACUGGUCGUGGCGAAACAAUUGAACCAGUUCAUAGUUGUUGGCAUAAUUUCGUAUAUUAGACGAUUGUCUUCAUGGUGGGCUGUUCGUGAUGCUUACCAAGGGAUCUAACCAAACUAGAUUAUUCGAACUUCGGAAUUCCAGAUAGAUAACAAUGGAGAAAUGAUAAUAAACAAGAAAUAUCGGUAUAUUGGAUUGGAGGUUGAGUAGUGUUUUUCACUAAGGAAAUUGAGUUAUUGGUUCAAUUGAAAUUUGAUACUUUGUAUUGUCUUUUUUGAAGCUGGUAACUUAAACAUUAUCGCAUUCCUGAGAUACAUAGUAGGUAAAACCAUUGUUUCUUGAAAUAUGCCAAAUUUACUUGUUGAAGCUUUAUUUGCUAUGCAAUUACACCUAUGUCCUUAUAAGGUUAAGAACCCGAGUACCUUAAGUACUAUAAAUCUUCAGUAACAAACUUUAGUUCUUAUUGACAUUGUGCUUUUGUUGAAACCCAAAAAUUACAGUAUCACAUUUUCAAGAUAUGGAGUGUGCAAGGCUCCAAGUAAAAGCAUUUUCUUGAAAGACACCAUGCUUCGCAAACAACAACACGGAUCUUUAUCUUUACUCUUAUAAAGAUUUCACUCGGUGAUGGCGGUCUGCUCACUUUCAGGCCACAUCACAUGUUUGACAUGACAAAUGCCUGAUAUGUGAGCAGAUGUAGAUGAUUUGGUCUUGUUUUAAUCCAUUUUGAUUUGUAGCAACACAAGGAAUUGAACGUGUAUCCGUAAGUAUAUGGGAAAACAUCUCUAUAACAAGCACAAAAGAAAUUCAGGGAACACACAACAUCCCUUUUGCAGAGCUGUAAAUAACAAUACGGAGUAUUACAGUGAUUACAGUUAGCCUUAAAAACAUUCAACUGACUGACAGAUUAUAGUUGUCUAUCUUGUCAUCGCCUGGAAUUUUUUUUCGAGUAUAGGACUUCAACAAUUCCUACCUGCAGACUCAGGUUUAAAAGUAUCUCCUGACACAGUACUAGAUAUUGCUGUUUAAUUGCUUAUUCUUAGAUACAGUUUUCGUCUGCACCAACAUCGCUUCAGAUUUGGUUUGUCGGAAACAGUCGUUCAUAUGCAUUACUGAAUUAUGCAUGCAGGAGCCUGGAGUCGCUGAAGCUGAAUUUGCUCUAUACGACAAUAGUCAUAAGUUUAAGACGGUCUUUGGAAUGCGCAAACCAGCUCCUCCUAUUCUACCCAAGGACAAGACCUUCUUUGACUCACUAGAUUCGGAUGGUACUUGCCCUCCAUGGUUGUCUGAAGAAGAUAUUUCCUACUAUGCAGACAAAUUUGAGAAGACAGGGUUUACAGGAGGGCUUAACUACUACAGAUGCAUGGACUUGUAUGUCACCUACGUCCCAUUCUCACUGUCUUGGUUUUACUAACUUUGUACUAAAGUUAGUAUAAACCUGGGUCAUCAAUUUUGGAACGGAGGGAGUAUAUACGUAUGUCUGAACUACAUAUCUGAUUGCGCCAACUUCAGUUCAUAAGUUUUAUGGGUGAAAUCAUUUCACCAGAGUUAACGCAUGCAUUAGAUCUGGCUCAACUUACUUGCGUGUUCAUGCAGGAAUUGGGAGCUUUCUGCACCAUGGACUGGAGCUCCAAUAAAAGUAGCAACAAAAUUCAUCGUUGGGGACCUUGACGUUACAUACAAUGUACCGGGAGUGAAAGACUACAUUCACAAGGGUGGCUUGAAAGCGAGCGUGCCGAAUCUGGAGGAUGUGGUUGUCAUGGAGGGAGUGAGUCACUUCUGCAACCAGGAGAAGCCUAAUGAGGUUUCAGAUUACAUCUGCGAGUUCUUCAGCAAGUUCUGAUUAUAUCAAGAGAGUCUUGGCGAACCUACUUGUUUCGGUGCUGUUUAUGUACUUAUAAGUUGUCGAUUACACAUGCCAUGAUACUGAAUUAUCUCUAAAUAAAACCAUGGUCUGAUUGUCACAGAAGAAUUUCUGUGAACUCUCGUGUCCUCCUGUUUCUAUGCAGAGGGUCAAAGUGUAACCUGUGGGCAGCAGUGAAAUCUUAGCAGCUGAAACCGGUAGAAAAAACCCACCAGAUUACCGUUUCUUCUUUAUUCGGGCCUGUCUUUUGGACCUCUUUUUUCUUUUGGUUAGGUUCAUACUGAGGUAGUGGACAAACAUAUGGGAAGAAUAUUGGCAGGGGCAAAUUUCCUAUUAUUGUGGGCAAAUAGAAUUGCUUUACUUGUUAAAUUAAGUUCAACUUCAAACUUACAAAAAAUAUUGCAAAAAUAACGUAAACUCUUCCAUUGAAGGCUUGUGUUUUACUUUUAGGCUAGUUGAAGCAGUUGUCUGAAACACCUCUGCCUCUAGGGCAGCUGAGUUUUGCCGUGAAAAUCUUCAAAGGGAUGUACGGCUCCGCUGCCUCUGCAACUCAACCGUUCCAAUGCUGACCUGCAGAGGGAAAUUUGUUAGUUUCUGGCGUAGCUAGGUGUUUCAUGAGUAGUUGAUGAACAUGCUGAACUGCGAGUAACUUCACAUUAUAGAAUACAACAACAACAACAACAACAACAAAGCCUUUAGUCCCAAACAAGUUGGGGUAGGCUAGAGGUGAAAUCCAUAAGAUCUUGCGACCAACUCAUGGUAUGAGGCGCGUCGUUGAGAGGCUUACGCCCCAACGAAAAUCUUUUGGGUCUUCACAUUAUAGAAUAGCGCCUUUUUUUUAACACUACGAUCAACAGUCUGGGAAGCAGAUUGUCGAUGAUCUUGGCGUUGUUCACUGGUUUUCUUUGUUUUUUUCUUUUUCAAGUUUAUUUUCCUUUUCCUUUGUUUAGAAAUUUCAAAAAAUGUUCAUGUUUUCAUUUUUUUGCCUAUUUUCUAAAAGCAAAUUGUGUUUUUAGAAAAUAUUCACAAUUUCAUGAAACGUUUGGAUUUUCAAAAUUGUUUGUGUUUUAAAAUUUUGUUCCCAAUUUCAGAAAAUCUUCGGGUUUUCCAAUAAAUGUCCGUAUAUUCUUUUAAAAAGUUUGCACUUCCAAAUAUUCUUCACAAUUAUUUUUUUUGCGAAUCUUCACAACUAAAAGAAAGUGUGGCACUUGACACGAGUGGUGAGCUAUCUCAAAAACAAUGAACUAAAAGAGAGUGGUAGAACAACCCAAAAAAAAUCACAUGCUACAGUAGUAGCUACGGGUAACUCGGGUAUGGGCUGACCCCUGCGUGCUUCAGGUAUGCAGCCCAUUACCUCCGGGGAAGUGUUUACAAACGGCGCACCGGCCGAACCGUUCCGCCGGUUCGCACGCCACGCUGGCAACGCGCCCGCGCAAUCCCCGCCUCCUUCCUUACGUGCCUCCAUCCCCUACCUUUAGCCUACGUGCGCGCACCUCCCCUCCCCCGAGCUGCGACUGGGCCUCCACGAACUCCAUCGCCGGCGGCCAGGCGCUCCCUCGCCGGCCGCCAUGGCUGCCUGCUGCCAUGGCCAGAUCCAUCCCUAACCUACAGCCUUCAAGGGCGCGCAUCCCCUCCCCUCCUCCUCCUCCCGGGCAGCGACUGGGCCACCACAAGCUCCAUUGCCGGCGGCCAGGGCGCUCCCUCGCCGCCCACCAUAACUGCCUGCCCGCCAUGCCCGGAUCCACCCCGCGUAUAGAAGUGUUGCAACCAUCACCUAAAAAAGCUUCAACGGCCAUUCAAAAAAGCUUCAACCAUAGACAUAGAAAGCUUCAAUGGCACUGCACAAUAAGGGGGAAACUGCAACCAUAGUUGAAUUUUGCUACCACCGGCGAAGCUUUUUGCUACAUCCAUCAGGCGGAGCUCGGACCCUCGCGACGACGACAACAAUGUUUUGCUGCAACCGUAGCAGGAUUUUGCUACAACUAGCAUCGUUUUUUGCUACCACGGCAACCGGCGGAAGCAGCGACCAGCAAUGCUUUUCCAGCAAAUGAUUUUUGUCCCGGCAAAACCCAGAGCUGGAACCAGCUUUUGUUUUUGCUACAACCUGCAAAUCGAGAGCUGGAACCAACAACAUUUUUUGUUGGAAUCAAAAGAAGCAGGGGCUUCAACGGAUGUACGUCAGAGCUGCAACCAGUGCUGAAAAAUGCUACAUCCGGUAGCCACGAAAGCUACAACCAGCUUGAAAAAUGCUUCAACUGGAUAUGAGGUAGUUGGGGGUCGGCAUCUCGCAGCGACAAAAAGCUGCAACCGGCUUGGAGGAAAGCUACAACGCGCUUCUAAAAAAGCUUCAAACCGAGAACGGCUAGCUAACAAUGGUGAGCGGCGGCGACGGAGCUGCAUGGGCGCGCGGUGCUGCGACGGGCACGCGGCGAGCUAUGAUGGCGGACUGCGACAAUGCUGGAACCCUCACCCGGCGGUGCUGCAACCAGAGGGAGGGAGACACGCCCGGCCCGACGGAGCUGCAUACGGCGAACGCCCCAGGUGAGCUGCGACGGCGAGCAGCCCCGGCGAGCUGCGACGGCGAGCUGCGACGGCGAGCUGCGACGGCGAGCGGCCCCGAUGAGCUGCGACGCGGCGUCCAAGGGUGAGCACGAGGAGGCUGACCCGCGGAGAUCCAUUUUUUUCCUGCGUUUACGCGUGCGUGCGGGAGGAAGAAGAAGCCGGGGGCGAUUCGUUUUUUUUCCUGGAUCCAACGACCCGCGCGGCUCACAUCCAACGGCCUGGGCUAGACCGGCCGAAACUUUCGGCCGGCGCACCGGCGCCUAUCAGCGCCCUUACCUCCGCGACUUGUCCGCGCAUUCCGCUUCCCCUCUAGUAGCUUCCGCUAGAAGGCCCGGCCUCCCGUACAAUGAUGAAGCAGCACGGCAGCAGCCACCGUCGGCUUUGAAAAGGGCGGAGUGGAGAAAGGAAUCGCUGAGCUCCUCCAUCCAACUGCUUCCACCACAAGCCAAGCCACACUGCCUUCCACGCCAGAGAUUCGCAGCCAUGUCCGACGAGCUCAAGCGCGGGAUCGCGGGCGCCGCCGCCGUCGCCGCCUCCCACCCGGCGCCCUACGCGCCGCGGGCCCCGGCCGACGCCGACCGCAGGCUCGCCGCCUCCGCCACCGCCGCGCUCGGCUCCCCGCCGCCGGCCGCCGCGUCCCCCACGGCGCACAAGAUCACGCUCAAGAGCGCCGACAUGAAGGAGGAGAUGCAGAAGGAGGCGUUCGACAUCUCCCGCGUCGUAAUCCCCUUUCUCCCUGCACAUUGGAUUCUCGAUUUGGUCCCGCCGCGCUGUCCCAGCGUGGCUGGCCGCUGGGGUUUGGUGUGGGGAAUUUAUUUAUUUGUUCGUUUGUUCUGCAUACUAGGCGUUCGAGAAGCACGCCAUGGAGAAGGACAUCGCGGAGUACAUCAAGAAGGAGUUCGACAAGAACCACGGCCCCACCUGGCACUGCAUCGUCGGCCGCAACUUCGGUAAUCCCCUCUCUUCCCCCAUUCCUUUUCGAAAUAGCGUUGUACGGAGGAUGCGUCUGUGGUGGAUGUGCUUUGGGGUGAUUUGGCUUUGUGCGUGGCCAUUUUCUUCUCUUCUGAGGCGACCAUAAACUUCUGUUGAUGAAUAUAUCUCCUAGGGGGACAGUGACUGAGGUAUAAUUUAUGUGGAUGUCAGUUGGAGCAAUAGAAUGCUAAGUUAACUGCAUAAGUGACCCUUAUGUAUUUCAGAAGUACUUAGAAGGGCCGUAAGGAUAAAUUAUCUGAUGGCUGUUAGGUUAACGCAAAAGCAAGUUGGCACUUAGGAAAUAGGAUGCGCUAAUGUAGUGUGAUUCCUUGCUCACAGGGCUCAUUGUUUGGAUGUUAAUUUUUCUACCGAUGUCAGUAUUUGCUCAGGUUCUCUCUGGUAUCAACCACAUCCAACUUUCCGUAACUAUAACUCAGUGUGUUGUAUUUUCAGCUAAGAAAUCUGGAAUUUAUGUUUCAGUCUUUCUUGUACAAAGCUAAAUACUCCCUCUGUUUCAGUUUACAAGUUACGCGUAUACCUAGGUUGCUAAUUUUAUCACCCUAAUAUAAACUAUAUAGCACAAAAAAUAUACUGUUUGAAAGUAGAACAACGGAAGUUUAUAUUGGUAUACUUUUUGGAAUAUAUGACUUGUAUUAGGUUGGUCAAAUUAACGACCUAGGGGUGCGCGCACGCCCUGUAAACUGAGAGAGAGGGAGUAGAGUAAAUUGCACUUCGGUCCUUGUAUAUUGAUCUUAUAAUGAGAUGCAUGGAAAACUGAUAUGGCAUGUUAUGUAGAUUUGUCAACUGACUUGGUAAUGCCAUGCCACAUGGGCCGUGUCAUCUUAGAGGUUUACAUAAUGCACCAUAUCAUUUGUUUUCAACUUCCCAUUAUUAAAACUUUCACAGUUAAAAUUAGGCUGAAAGAAAGUUUUGGGACCUCUAAUGCAAUUAGCUCAUCCGAAUGGUGAAGUGGUUCUAGAAGAACAACAGAUUAAUCAAAUGCCUUUGUGUGUACAGACAAUUGCAUGUUACUGUUAAUUACACAUUUUCUACUCCGUCCUGUACAAAAAAGGGUUAUCUUACUUGAGGUAAUCGUUUCAUUUCACCAGAUUUCUUAGAGUUUGUUGACUAUAUUUAUUUGCAAGCCAGAUCAUUUUACAGUAGAAAGUCGCAUCAGGAAUACAGAUAAUCAAUAAGUUAUCACACGUAUGGUCGAUAUGCAUGAGCUUUUUUUUCUUUAUCUGGCAGCCUGGCACUGAGCAAACAACAAUGAUAGCCUUUAGGCCCAUGACAAGAGAGUCGUCUCAUUUGUACUCCCUCCGUUUGGAAUUACUUGUCUCAGAAAUGGAUGUAUGUAGAACUAAAAUAUGUCUAGAUACAUCCAUUUCUGCGACAAGUAAUUCCGAACGGAGGGAGUACUCAAUAUGAUUAUCGGAAUUCCGCAUCUCGUUGCAAACCAAUGUUUUUCUUUGUAAUAUAAUAUUAUUUUCUUCACAUUUGUUAGUCUGAACUUUAGCAACACGUCAAAUUUUCUUUUACUUGUUACGCUCCUCACCCUGAAAGGAGUUGGCCUAUUUGACUGGCCACUAUGGUUGCCUCAGUUCGCCACCAUUCGAGUGAGGCUGGUUUGAUCACGGUAGACGGGUGUUUGGUUUGUGAAUUGUGACCACACCUUAGGCAAGAUCCAUUUUCUGAUAGUUGUCUCCAUACGUCACUGAGUAAGAAGAAGCGUUGCAAGGUUGCCUUAGGCAUGCCGAAGUGUGGCACUGGUGCCUAUUUUGUUGGACUGACUUUACAUUAGUUUGGCAAGAAAUACAUGAUAAAGUGUAGUCGUGAAAACUUGCAGUUUUAGUCUGGCAAUGGCUUUGAGAACUUAGUGUCGUGAAUAUCUAAUACUCUUUUAAAUCAGUUAUGGUGCUCCAUUUGACACAAUGCUAGCUGUUAAACCACACAUCUCAUGACCUUUAGAUGAUCUCGUGGUUCCAUGUCAUAUUGAUGAUUCUGUCCCAAAAACUAAAUUCUAAAGUGAAAGAACAGACUUUGUUAAUAUUAGGGCUCUCUAGUUGACUGUACAGAUGCUAGAGAAAGCUUACCUUCGCUUCUCAAAGUCUUGUAGAAAGUGUAGAAAGGUUUUGAUUCGCAAAUUUUAUCAGUCAAUCUAAGUAUGAUUGGGCGAAUUGCUCAUAGUAUAUUCUCUUUAGCCCAUUUUUGGUGUUUAUUUGUUUAAUUCCUAGGAUUUUGCUUGUGUGUUGUCUUGUCUUGCUUUGCUUUUGUGGAUCUGCUUGGGGUGGUGUCAUCUUCUCAAACCAGUCAGAGGAUCCUCAAUAUUUUCUCAGUCCUACUGGAGUUAUAAUUUUGUUUUGGUUUGUUAAACCAUCCAGGUGCUUUAGUUUAUGUGGCCCAUGAGCUAAGGUUAAAAACAUCCAAAGAAAACCCUUCGGUAUGAUUGGUUGUGUAUGAUUAUAGUGAACUGCAUUUGCUUGGAAUGCAAAAAACGAGCUGAUAAACGAUGGGAACAUAAUCACAUUUCCUUUCUUAAGCUGUUCCCUUGGGUGGUGUAGGGAGAUUGGAGUCAGCUAUUACUUGUCAUUAUGUUGAAACAGCCAACUGCUAAAACAUUAGAAGAUACGUAAUAACUUAAACUGAUAUUCUCCAUUUGCCUCCCAUUUUCAUUCCCACACUGUGCAGUUAAGACAUAAGAGGUUAGUGGUGUAUUUUGUUACUUAAUGUCUUGAGUUUCAUUUGCUGAUCCUGAACCAUAAGCUACUGAACCCAUACCUGGUUGCUUGUUUGCCUAAGUGAUCCUUUUGAGAACUUCAAAUGCCGAAAGCUGUGCAUUGCUAUAGGCACGAGAUACAUAUGAGUGCAAGCAAUGUUGGUAAUUAUUUUUUAUGGCUUUUGCAGGUUCCUACGUGACGCACGAGACGAACUACUUUGUGUAUUUCUACAUUGAUUCUAAAGCUGUCUUGCUAUUCAAGUCUGGGUGAUGGGUGAAUCUGAUCCCUCUCUCCCCUGUGGCGAGCUCCUGUGUGCCCCUCUUUCAUCCGCGUCUGCCACGAGACUGGAGAUCAGAAAUUUGGAAGAGCCUACAUGUUGGUGUGAGAUUUUAGAUCGUGUCUCUCUUUUGCUUGAUGCAGCUAGGUCUUGUUGACAUUGUCUCGUUGUAAUAUUGCCAAGAAUUUGGACGAAAAGUCAUCAUCAACGAUGUACGAAAAACUGUCUGAUCUACUGACUACUUCCUCCGUUCGGAAUUACUCGUCCAAGAAAUGAAUGUAUCUAGAUGUAUUUUAGUUGUAGAUACAUCCAUUUUUAUCCACAAGUAAUUCCCAACGGAGGGAGUAGUUGCUAAGUGUCUUGGCCUCAUGGGAUGAUCAAAUUCAGAAUUUGCAUUUUAUUGGUAUAGUAUAUAACGUGCACUAGGUGUGUGUCAUAUGGUUAGACUAUACACCCGGGGAGCAGCUGGCACGCUGCUGGGAUUCGAGGUUUUUGGCUGUUUCCGGUGCACGAUCUAGUCGAUCUAGGUUCCUGAUAGCCAUCAUAUGAGCACUGUCCAUCUUCUCGUGAAUUGGGUUCUCCACGCGGAGGAUAAUCCUUGUCGCUGUUUUCUGGUCAGAUGUACUGAAUGUGAACUGGAGAAGGAUCAAUCGAUUUGACGCAGUAACUCUGAGACGUUUUUGCCAUUAUAUACAAAGUUUACAGAUGAGUAAGCGCACUCGAGCCCGUGACGUGGACGUGCGGCCGGUGCGGUGAGAUGCGAUGUUUUCCUUUCCGGCCGCCGUCGUGAGUGCAAGGCGACGCCCGUCCGAUCGGAGCGACGUGAUUCCAUGCCGCCCGGGCAGCGAGAAAAAGUGUUCACGGACAGCGACGACGCCGCGCGACCUGUAUAAUUAACCUACGCAUGCGCAGCCGACGUGUCACGUGCCAUCAAUUGGCUGUAAUAACGAUGAUCGAUCUGAUAUGACCAGCGACGUCGAAUUAAUGCCAACUCCACCGCGCGACCCCAUCUUGUCCGGGUACGUCCGUUUGGGGUAAAACGGACGAAUAGCACGGCCCAACGCGCGGUCUCAAACGGACAAAUGUCCGGAAUCCGUCCGUUUUCGACCCAUCCCCGGUCCAAAGUUGUGCUCGGUUUGGGGUGAAACGGACGCGCGCGGACGGCCGCGACGCACGCCCUUGUCCCCCCUGUGGCCCUCCUGUUGGGGACACUAGCAGUCCCUCCCUCCCAACGCUUCAACCCUCCCUCUCCUGCCAUGCCCCGCCGCCGGCGCCGCCGCUGUUCUCCGGCCGCCUCCACACCGCGCAGCCCCCGGCCGUCCAUACCAAACCACGUGUAGACAUGGCCGCCACCACGCCCGCGCUUUCGUCGUAGUUUUGGCCGUCGAUCGAAGGAGGUUUGGCCGUUGCCGUCUUUGCCGGUGGCAGAGGAGACACAACCGCCGGCGGCCGCGGCAGCUUCCGACGGCUCCAGAGCGGCCAGUAGCCAGCCGGCAACCACCCCUGCUGCGUCGAGGUGAUCAUCGCGGCCUCUUCGCCACCACGACCGCAAGGUGUUCGACAUUUUGCCCACAAAGGUAUGGACAGUGGAGACGAGUUCUUCUUCCACCACUUCCUUUGUUCAUCGGACGAUUCGUCGUCGGAUGAUGAAGAUCUUGUGGUGGCUGCACUUGUCGUUCACGACCACAUUCAACGGCAGCUUCCUCGGUAUAGGGGGUCAGUCCCUGGCCGUGCUCCCAUCCUGAACCGCAACAGGGAGAGAGGUCACGCCCUGCUCUAUGCCGAUUACCUUUCCAACAAACCGCUCUUCAAGCCGGAUAAAUUCCGUCGCCGUUUUCGAAUGGCAAGGCAUGUGUUCAAUCGUAUUUGAGAGGGAGUGGUUGCUCAUGACCCAUACUUCGAGUGCAAGACGGAUGCCCUUGGCAAGUUUGGGUUCUCCUCUUACCAGAAAUGCACCGCGGCCGUCCGCAUGCUUGCCUAUGGAAUUCCAGGCGAUCUGGUGGAUGAGUACGUGCGUAUGAGCGAGACAACAUGUCUGAUGUCAAUGUACAAGUUCUGCCAAGCUGUGAUCGAGGUGUUUGGCCCAGAGUACUUGAGGUAGCCAACUGCAGCUGAUACAGAGAGAUUGUUGGCGACCAACGCAGCUAGAGGCCUUCCAGGUAUGCUUGGCGGCAUAGAUUGUAUGCACUGGGAGUGGAAGAACAGUCCAUUUGCUUGGCAGGGCCAGUACAAGGGGCAUGUCAGCGAGUGCACUGUCAUAUUAGAAGUUGUGGCAUUGCAGGAUCUCUGGAUAUGGCAUUCUUUCUUCGGUAUGGCAGGUUCUCACAAUGAUAUCAACACGCUGCAACGUUCUCCAGUCUUCGCGAGGCUUGCAGAAGGCCGCUCCCCACCUGUCAACUUUGAGGUCAAUGGCCACCAGUACAACAAAGGAUACUAUCUAGCUGAUGGUAUAUAUCCUCAGUGGUCAAGUUUUGUGAAGACAAUCUCGAAGCCCCAAGGUGAGAAGAGAAAGAGAUUUGCCCAAAUGCAAGAGAGUGCUAGAAAGGAUGUGAAACGUGCUUUUGAUGUGCUUCAAUCCCGAUGGGGCAUCGUUCGAUACCCUGCACUGUCAUGGGAUGAAAGAAAGCUUUGGGAGGUGAUGACUGCUUGUGUGAUCAUGCACAACAUGAUCGUCGAGGACGAGCGUGAUGACAGUAUCUUCGACCAAGGAUUUGACUAUCAAGGUGACAAUGUUGAGCCCCUGCAUCAAGAACCGACCACGUUUGAUCAGUUCGGCCCGUUCCAUCGUGAGCUGCGUGAUUAGCACACUCAUAAGGCUCUUCAAAAUGACUUGGUUGAGCACGUCUGGGAGCAUAUUGGCAACCGAUAGAUGUAUUGGUUCGUUUUAUGUUCAUUCAAAAUAAUUUCGAUUUGGUUGUGAAACUAUCUUUAUUAGAGACAAUUUCGAUUGGGUUGUAAAACUAUUUUAAUUUUCAGACAAUUAAUAUUUGAACGUGCAAACUUGUUUUCGUAUGAAAAUAUGGGCAUUUUAGGCUUUGGCGGACGAGAUGAGGCAAAAGGAUGGACGGACAGCCACCGCAUCCCAGGACAGGACCGGACACGAUCCCAUUGCCCUACCUAAAAUGACAGAAUUCGAACAAAACAGAUGUCCGUUUGGGAUUCCGCGGUGGAGUUGGCCUAAUACAAAAGAUCUUGUGUGAGUGGCACACUGACAUCGCGCGUCGUCAGACGCCAGUGACACAUUUCUGUGGCGUGCCCGUACAAGCACGGGUCGCGGUACGGUGGCUCGAGCUUGUAUUGGUGGCUGCCAUGACCCUGUACUGGGGCUUCAUUUGGAAGAUAAUCAGAAGAAUGAUUCAAACAGCAAGGAGUAUGUUUAGAACAAAGAAAACGCUGGAUUCUUUCGUUAUUAUUACUAGCUGUAAAUAAAAGUAAAAGGUACAAGCCCUGCUCGACGAGAGAUACAUCUGAUCUGAGCACACCAACACUAUAGCAGGGCAUCCAAGCCCAGACGAACGCACGCACACAAUGGGAAACAUCCAACCCGCACCUCCCCAGUAGUAUAGGAUCGAUCAUGAUGAUGAUCCGUCGUUAAGCCGCGUCGCGCGCAGCGCUCGGCGAACGAGCGCCUCCUGCCUCUUCCCUCGUUACCUAGCAUAGCAGUUUUCCUUCCAUGGCGGGGCCAGGAGGGUCGUCGAGCGGGGCUUCAAGCCCGUGCGUAGGUCUGUCCGAGGUGCGCGGCGCGGAGGUCGGCGGGGUCGGCGCCGGCGGCGCGGUUGGCGGGGCGGUAGUGGCCGGUGACGGGGUCGGGCACCCACGAGGCGUCGGCCGCGGCCUUCUCAGCCUCCCUGGCCGCCUUCCCGUCCGCGGUCGCCGCGGCGCCGCGCCUCAUCGCCCCGGAGGAGGCCGCCGCCGCGUAGCCCCUGGCGGUGGCUGGGGCCAGCCGCUGGGCGAGCGCGCGGGCAGCAGCGGAGCCGGAGAGAGCGAGGGCCAUCGGAUCUGUCUGUGUCGGACGAUCGGACGGCUGGAGGGCUCCGGCUCUGUGCUGCUGCUACUGCUCCAACGUGGGCGUUUGAGGCUGGGUGGGCUUUGGUGGUGU